rnacentral:lncRNA from 1 species
AAUGCCUGACCAAAUGUUGGUCGAAAAAUAGGUCGACGAGGGGCAGGAAGUUGAGGUUGAGCCUCAGGCGCUGGGGGUGGAGCUACUGGCCUCACAGAACCUAGGAUGGGCCAUGGGCGAGAUGGGAGAGGCUGGUUUGCCAUAAUCCAACAGAAUUAAUCCUAAGCAGGUCGCCCAAAGACUUAACCUGAACAAGAGGCCAAGGAAUGGGCACAGAAAAUAAGUUCGAUGAACUUGGUAUUUACUAUUUAUAAGUUCAACACCCUAGAAAAAGAAAAAUGCAGAUCACAUCUAAAAUCCUAAUACAAGUGCUCAAAAGAGUCAAAAUACAUGGGCAACCAUAUGGAGACAGAAAGAGUAUCGUACGGAGUGUCCUCUUGAGAUUGACCACAUGUUAGUCAAAUAUGAUCGAUGAAACAUCUGCUUCCUCAGCAAUGGUCUAGAAGAAGUGAGUUCCUCAUAGGAGUUGUUGGCUUUAGAGAUAUUAAUGAUCCUUUUGAGAAUCAAUUAAUGCCACCACAAUCAUUAUUCAUGCAUUGCCCUUGUUUCUCUGAUUGAAUCUUGCAUGCAAAUACAAUGCACAGCAGUUCACCACUCCACAAAAGGGCACCAAAUCAACCUAUACAUGAUGCGGGAACGAGAAUAUCGGCGCGCACAGAAUAAUAGAAAAGAUGUUGUACGAUCUAAUUGGGUUGUCCAAAUUCGUUAUCAGAAUCAUAGUACAAUGGUGGAUAGGAGAAUAUGGUUUUGUACUGCAAAAACAAAAUAAAAUAACCAUUCCUUACAGCAUAAAUGACCCUUUCCAAACUUUAAAGCUUGAUGCUAUUAGCUUAUAAUAUUUCAAGUCCAAUCAAUGUAGGAGGUCUACCCUAUUGGCCCCUAAUGGGCCAUGGUGACCAAAGAGACUGAGAUUGUGAAUUGCAUGCUAAUUCACUUAGAAUAUAGUUCAAUUUCUAAUAACUUUUUUUUAAAAUAAAAUUGAAGUUGUUAGGUGAUAAUAGGAUAAACGACAUUUGGAAUAACAUUUUUUUUUAUUAGAUAUUCUCUUAGUGAUAAUUUCUUGUUUUUAACUUUGACCAGGAAGGAAGUGAAGCCAAAGUCAAACUUAUAAUUCUCAAAGGACAAUAUUGUUGUCGUAAAAAUUUUAUUUAUAAAAAUAGUUUUAUCAAGUUGUUUUAAUAGAUGAAUAUUUCUAUGAAAUAAAGCUUUAACAUUAUAUUCAACUAUAAAUUAAACGGUCUUAUAAUGUUAUGUAAAUUGACUAGCAUUGGUCUUAUAAUGUUAUGUAAAUUGACUAGCAUUUAACUAUUGUAAGCCAUGUGAUAAAUGGACGGGAGUAAUAGAGUUGAGCGUAUGGAAGUAUAUUUAGAACUUGUUUGAGAAUUGUUCUAAAAAGUACUUUUACCUUUUUUAAUACUUGAAAAUUUUUAUCAUUUAAAUGUUAAAAAAAUUUAAAAACAUUUUCUAAAAUUGUGUUGUUAAACACACUCUUAGCUAAUGGACCUGAUAUCCAAAGCAAAAUCACCUAAGAAUUUCAAGACUGCUAAAUUAACAUAUGGAUGCAUAGCUUAAUUAUCAGAUCUCCUUUAUGUGCCCUUCAAAAUUAUUAAAGGCUACUAAACCAAACACCAGCAUAUAGAAAUAAUUAAAUCUUGUUAAAUUCUCAUACGUAGAACCCAAUUGGGCUAGAAAUUAAAUUAAUUUCCAGUUGGUUUAAGUCAAGUUUGAAUGCUUGCUUAGUUUGAAUGAAGCCAAGGGAAGCCCAAGCCUGGCCCGAAUUCAAUGCAAUACAUGAAGGCCGACUGUUUACAUGCCUAAUUAGAGGUGCUUUUAGAGUAAAUAAGAAUUAUAGCACAUAUCAACUGCUGUAAACAAACAAAGAGAUUCAGAAGGUCAAAGAAAAAUAAUUUCGAAUUUCGUAUUAAUAGGUGAAAAAUGACAGCAUACACUGUAAGGCUAGUUCUCAUCCCUCACAAGGUGAUCAAAUUGCAACUCAUACACUCGAUACUAAUACAAAUCAAAUGCAAAUUGCAUCUUUUAUUAAUUUCUUCCCCAGUCUCCAUCACCUCACUCUUACAAACACAUAAAUAUUCAAAUGAGGGCAUAUAUGGGUCACCAUCUUAGGUUACAUUCCAUCCGAAGAUCUGGAACACAACCAUGGAGAAUCAGAACCCAUGUCGUUUUCUCCUUAUCAGUUGCUUUUAAUUAUUCUCUCACUUAUAUAAUGUAAGGAUUUUGAAAAUGAAAAAGCUUAAUUAAUUUUGUGCAUGCAAGCUGUUUGUUAUAUCUCUAGUUAUUUUGCCCAUCACCAUGAGAGAAGAAAACACGGACGCCAGGAUCAUGGCUGGUGCAAGAGGUGUUGAAGAGAAUGGAGUUGUUAACGGCUUGAACAUUGCUGUUCAUAAAUGCAUUCAUGGGUGAUGAGGGGGUCCCCAUUUUGUUUUGAAUUUUCUCCAUCCUUUCUGACUCCUCUUUGACGCUGCUACUGUCGUCGCUUCCUAAUUUGCUGCCCCACGAAGUUUUGGGGUUGGUCUUGAUGAGUGUGUUGGAGUCUCCUUCGGGGUCGUGUUUCUUGCUGGCGAGGCUUAGCUCCAUUAUAGCUCCCUUGUUGUCUCCUACAAUUGUUAUAAUCUUCAUGCUGUCGUCCUUAGAGUGUGCUUUCUUAUGAUUACCUUUGUGGUCUCCGGUCUCCAUGUCCUUGGUCUUCUCACGCUUCUCGUAGUCAGGGACAAAGCUUGGCUUCGCAGUGUCGCCCACGUCCUUUUGCAGUCCACCAUUGGAGGGCUUGAGUGGCGGGAUGGGCUUUCCGAUGAGCAUGGUCUUCUGCUCAAUCGGCUCAGGAGUGAAUUUUACGUGGGCAGGAGGCAUAGUUAGAGGAGAUGGGGGAGGAGCAGGCGUUUUGAUUUUCUCAGAAGGAAGUGUGGUUUUCUCACUCGGAUAAGAUGGAACUGAUGAAAUAUUCCCAACCCGGAAAACUGGAGCUGCAGUAGCAGCAGGCGGUGGUGGUGGUGGCGGCUGCUGAGGCUGGGUUGAAGGCUUAAAUGCCUGACCAAAUGUGGGUCGAAAAAUAGGACGAGGGGCAGGAGGUUGAGCCUGAGGCUGAGGCUGAGCAUCAGGCGCUGGGGGUGGGGCUACCGGCCUCAUGGAACCCAGGAUGAACCAUGGCCGAGAUGGGAGAGGCUGGUUUGCCAUAAUCGAACUGGAUCAAUCUGAAGCAAGUCGCCCAAAUACUUAACUUGAACAAGAGACCGAAGCACAGGCACAGAAAAUAAGUUUGAGGAACUUGGUAUUUAUAAGUUCAACACCCAAAAAAAAAAAAAAAAAUUGCAGAACACAAAAUCCUAAUACCAGUGCUGAAAACACAUGGGCAACUAUGUGCAGACAGAAAUAGUAUCGCACGGAAUGUCCUCAAAUAUGAUGAAACAUCUGCUUCCUAAGCCAUGUUCUAGAAGUGAAUUCAAUUUAGGAGUUGACUUAGCCAUGUUCAUGAUCCUUAAUUUUGAGCGUCGGCCAAUGCGAGAAUCCUUAUUCAUUCAUUGCUCUGGUUACUCUUAUUGAACUAUGCAAAUGCAAUGCAUAUCAUCAAGAACCAUCUAAGGGAAAAGCAAGACUUUAAAGAGCAGUUUGGGUCCACUUUAAAGCUUGAUACUAUUAGCUUAUGUUUCAAGUCCAGUGGAUGAAGGAGAUAUCCUAUUGGCUCCUUUGUAGUUUUGGAUUUUAGUGGGAUCCAUGCCCCCGUUAAAAGCGCAGGGAUCGAAGUAGAUCAACUGUACUGUCUACGACUGUUUACUGUGGAAUAUGGAGCCUUGGACCUCUCCCUCACUUUUAAGGCCCUGAACCUUAAAACCAUCCAUUGGGACUGGAUAAUUAGAAUAGAUUUUGGAAAAUUUUACACUAAAAUAUCCCAUUUUUCAUAAAUUAGAAACAUGCCAGAUCUUGUGAUGAUACUUAAAACCCUAGUUUUUAUAUGUUUAAAAUAGCAAUGGAGAAUCAAAUACAACGUUUUAAAAAUGUUUAAAUGGAAUUCUAGAAUGUGAGCUCUGAUUCCUAAGGGUCUGUUUGGUUGCUAUUUUUGAAAAUUAUUUUGAAAAACAGUUUUUGAGAAUAAUUUUUUUUGUUUUCAGAAAAAAAAUCUGUGUUUGAAAAUUGAAUUUUGGAAAACAAUUUUUGUUCUCAAAAACAAAAAAAUCAUGUUUGGUUGGGUUAAUAAAAAAGUUUUUUAGAAUAAGUAAAAUAAAAAACAUGUUUGAAAGUUGUUUUUUUUUUUAAAUUGAAUGUUUUUUCGUAACUCCUCUCGAUUAAUAAAAAAAUAUAUAAAUAAAAUAAAUUCAACAAAAGAUAAUAAUAAUUGGUUUUGUUUUUAGAAUUGAGUAUUUUCUUUAACUAAUUGAUAUUGUAAAUAUAUAAAUAAUUUUUACAUUCACACAAAAAAAAAUUGGUUGUUUGAUUUACUUUGUGUUUUUUUUUUUGUUAUUCUUUUUUCUUUUUCUUUUUUGUUCCAGUUGUUUGUUUCUUUAAUAUUGUUUUAGGUAUGGUCUUGUUUGGUUGUUGAAAAAACUUGAGGGAGGGAGAAUUUUGAGGUUUCUGUUAUUGGUUGUGUGGAAAAAUAAAUGAUGAGGAGUUGUUGUGUUCUCUCGGAUCCUAACAGGGAUAAUCUUCCUUGUUUCAUACCCAUAAAAGGAAAAAUAAAAGAGGUGCAUGUCUGGAGAGAAGAGAGAGCAAAAUGCAAAAAAAAAAGGGAAAAGUUCAUGCAAUCUCCAAUGGAUAACAGUUUCUCCACACCAGAGCAGCACAUCCGUUUGAACUGAAGAGUGAAAGAAUCCGUGAAGGCCAAAACCAGCCAUGAAAAAGAAGAGAUUAGGGCGAAAACACGGAGAACAUCCCAUUUUUUCUUGUUAUUUGAAUAGUGUAAAAAACAACAAAAACAUCUUUAAAAUGUUCUCUAAAAUCAGGGUAUUUGAAAACACAGAAAACAACUUAAUACUCCUUGGCCAAACUAGUUUUCAGUGUUUUUUUGUUCCCGAGAAUAGAAAACAGUUUUUAAAAACAUCAACCAAAUCUUUGAAAGCAAAGUCCUUUCUUAGAUGAGAGACCAACUUAUUGAUCAGCUGUGGAUUAUUUCCGAUGAGAAUAACAUCAUCUAAAUAAACAAAGAGUAUUAAGUAUGUUAGUGUUACGCUUAUAAGUACAAAAAAAAAUAUCAGCCCUGCUGCAUGAAAAACCAAUAGUAUUAAUGAGUGAAAAAUAACAGCAUACAUAUUCCAAGGCUAGCUCUCAUCCCUCAGAUGGGGAUCAAAUUGCAACACAUACAUUCAACAUUAAUACAAAUAAAGUACCUUUUAUUCCUUCCCCAUUCGCUAUCAAAUCACUCUUACAAACACAUAAAAUGAGGGCAUGAGUUACCGUCUUGGGUUGCAUUCCAUCUGAAGAUCUGGAACACAACCAUGGAGAAUCAGAACCCAUGCCGUAUUCUCAUUACCAGUCACAGCUUUUAUUUAUUCCCUUACAUAUACAUUCUUCGUAUAAUGUAAGAAUUUUGAAAAUGAAAAAGCUUAAUUAAUUUUAUGCAUGCAUGCAAGCUGUUUGAUCUCUAGUUAUUCUGCUCCUCUCCAAUGUCCUUGGGAUGUAGUCCACGGCCACCACCACGAGAGAAGAAAACAUGGACAACAGGAUCGUGGCUGGUGCAAGAGGUGUUGACAAGCAUGGAGUUGUUAACGGCUUGAACAUUGCUGUUCAUAAAUACAUGCACGAGUGGUGAUGGGGUCGCCAUUGUGUUGGAGUUGCCUUGGGGGUCGUGUUUCUUGCUGGCGGGGUUGAGCUUCAUUAUAGCUCCCUUGUUGUUCCCUGAAAUUGUUAUGAUCUUCAUGCCGUUAUCCCUAGAGUGUGCUUUCUUGUGAUUACCUUUGUGGUCUUUGCUCUCCAUGUCCUUGGUCUUCUCAAGCUUCUCGUAGUCAGGGACACUGCUUGGCUUCGCAGUGUCACCCACAUCCUUUUGCAGUCCACCAUUGGAUGGCUUGAAUGGUGGGUUGGGCUUUUCGAUGAGCAUGGUCUUCUGCUCAAUCGGCUCAGGAGUGGAUUUUACGUGGGCAGAAGGCAGAGUUAGGGCAGAUGGGGGAGGAGAAGGUGGUUUGAUUUUCUCAGAGGGAGGUGUGGUUUUCUGACUCGCAUAAGAUGGAACCGAUGAAACAUUUCCAACCUGGAAAGGUGGCGCUGCAGUAGCAGCAGUCUGUGGUUGUGGUGGCAGCUGUUGAGGCUGGGUUGAAGACUUAAGUGCUUGACCAAAUGUAGGUCGAAAAAUAGGACGAGGGACAGGAGGUUGAGGUUGAGGUUGAGCCUGAGGCUGAGCCUCGGGCGCUGGGGGUGGGGCUACUGGCCUCAGGGAACCCAGAAUGAGCCAUUGGCGAGAUGGGAGGGGCUGGUUUGCCAUGAUCCAACAGAAUUAAUCUGAAGCAAGUCGCCUAAGGAACCCAAAUGCUCAACCUGAACAAGAGACCAAGGAAUGGGCACAGAAAAUAAGUUUCAAGAACUCGGUAUUUAUAAGUCCAACACCCAGAAAAAGAGAAAAAGCAGAACACAUAAAAUUCUAAUACUAGUGCUCAAAACGCAUAAACAACUAUAUGCAGAUAGAAGGGUAUCGUACGGAAUGUUCUCUUGAGAUUGACCAUACCAUGAAAGUACAUCUGCUUCCUAAGCCAGUCUAGAAGCAGGGAAUUCCCUGUAGGAGUUGACUCAGCGAUCAUGACACAUUGCCCUCGUUACUCUUUUUGAGCCAUCAACACAUGACGCGGGAAUGAGAAGCUUCUUUGGAAUUUGCGUGCCCAAAAGUGAUGAUGUUUCAAAUGUCGCGAAGAGGCAUUCAGGGUAUUUCAUUUCUAUCCUCUGUAGAGUAAGGGAAAAUAUUAGAUUGGGAGUUUUUUUUUUUUUUUUUUCUUUUCUAGAAGUCAUUUUGUUCUUUCCUCCUUGUGUUUUGCAGAAAACAUGUCGGGAUGCAGAAUAAUAGAAUGGAUGUUAUAGGAUCUGAUCGGGUUGUCCAAAUUCGUGAUCAGAGUCAUAGUAGAAUGUUGGAUGAGAUAUUAAUAGAUACAUCAGUAAUUCAACUUUAUUAAUAUAUCAGGAUAUAUUAAAAAAUAUUAGUAGAUAUUUUAACUUAAAAUAUCGAUAAUAUAAAAAUUAAUGAAAAUUAUAAAAAUAUUAAAAACAACUCUAAAAGAUUAUAUAAGAAGUAAAAAUAAACAUUUUUUUGGCAAAAAUUGAUAUAUGUAAUUUGUCAUAUUUAAUGAUAAUAGCGUUUAUGUUGAUAAAAAAUAUAAAUUUUAUAAAUUUAUAUUUAUUAUUAAGUUACAUUAUAUAUUAUUUUAUAAUAAUAUUAUGAUAAUAUGGAUAAUUUUAAAAUAUAUUUACUAUUAAAAUUAUAAUUUUUUGAUUUUAAGAUCGGGAGGAAUUAUUAAGUAAAAAUAAUUCUUUAAUUACAUCAUGUUCUUGAAUUAUUUUAUUAUUUGUCAUAUUUUACUUGUAACUAUUUACAUCCUACGUAGAUAUUAUCUACUUUUAAUCCAAAAAAACCUUUACAACUUUAAAAUGCAUUCAUAUCGUUAAGAGGAGAAAAUAGACACCCUUUAUGGGGCUAAACAAAUCCCUACUCAGAAUCAAGGAUUGGUUUUGAUAGCAUUUAUAAUAAUCUACACUUAAUUGUAUAAAUAUUGUCUACUUUGAAUCCAAAAGAGUUUUCAUAGUUUUAAAAUAUGUCUUCAUAUAAGUUAAAAGGAACUCAUAUUUAUAUACCACAAAAAAUUUUCUCUUAUAUUCAAUAUGAGAUAUCAUAUUACUUUCUCAUGAGUUUGUUCUUUGAGUGUGCAGAUAUUACAAAAGUUGAAAUUCAUUACAUAAGGAAAGCUUUAUUUUGGUUUGAGUCAAGUUUUUUUUUUUUAGAGUUAUGAAAGGCCUUGUUGUAACUAUUUAUUUUGUCAUAAUAUUGCUAAAGGGGAUAUUGUUGAUAUAUCAGGGUUAGGUGAUAAUUUUAUUUCAUUUCUUACUAAUUAUAUACUAUAUACUUUUGUGGGUCUUAUCGUUAUCAAUUUAACUUAAGAUUUUAUCAAACUUGACUUGUACAUAUUCAAAAUCACCAAUGUUGACAUAAGUAGGCAUUUAUGUUUAAUAAAGAUUAUAGAAUGGCUAACACAUGAAAAUGAGAUAGAAAUUUCAACUGCAAAAUAAAAAAGUUAAUAAUGGUCGGGACAACAAUCAAAUGAUAUGAGGAAGUUCAAACGUCUUCAAGGAGUUCAAAUGCCCAUAUUCAGACGUCCCUUAUGGGUGUUCAAACGUUUGGUCUUCCCAUUUACAUGUCUAAUUGAAGGUUCAUGUAGAGUUCAAAACGGCCCAAAACAAAGGCAUGCAAGCACCCAAUAAUUAUAUAUAGCGCAUAUCACUUGCUGUAAAGAUACAAAGAAAUUAAAAAAAUGAGGGGUAAAAAACAACUUCAAAUUUAGUAUUAAUGUGUGAAAACUGACAGCAUACGGUACAAGGGGAUCAAAUUCAAACCGUACACUCAAUACUAAUACAAAACAAGUGCAAACUACAACUUUUAUUUCUUCCCCCAUUCACCAUCAACUCACUCAUACAAACACAUAAAUAUUCAAAUCAGGACAUGGAUCACCAACAUAGGUUACAUGCCAUCUGAAUAUCUGGAACACAAACGUGGAGAAUCAGAACCCGGGCCUUUUUCUCAUCACCAGUCACUUUUAUUUAUUCUCUUACAUAUACAUCCUUAAUUAAUUUUAUGCAUGCAAGCUGUUUUAUUUUUGCCCAUCUCCAUAGUCUUUGAGAUGCAGUCCACGGCCACCACCACGAGAGAAAAAAACAUGGACACCAGGCUCGUGGUUGGUGCAAGAGGCGUUCACGAGAAUGGAGUUGUUAACGGCUUGAACAUUGCUAUUCAUAAAUAUAUUCAAGAGUGGUGAUGGGGUCGCCAUUGUGUUGGAGUUGCCUUGGGGAUCGUGUUUCUUGCUGGCGGGGUUGAGCUCCAUUAUAGCUCCCUUGUUGUCUCCUGCAAUUGUUGUGAUCUUCAUGCUGUUAUCCUUAGAGUGCGCUUUCUUGUGAUUACCUUCGUGGUCUUUGCUCUCCAUGUCCUUGGUCUUCUCAAUCUUCUCGUAGUCAAGGACUCUGCUUGGAUUCACAGUGUCGCCCACAUCCUUUUGCAGUCCACCAUUGGAUGGCUUGAAUGGUGGAUUGGGCUUUUCGAUGGUCAUGGUCUUCUGCUCAAUUGGCUCAGGAGUGGAUUUUACGUAAGCAGGAGGCAGAGUUAGAGCUCAUGGGGGAGGAGAAGUUGGUUUGAUUUUCUCAGAAGGAGGUGUGGUUUUCUGACUCGGAUUAGAUGGAACCGAUGAAACAUUCCCAACCCGGAAAGGUGGAGCUGCAGUAGCAGCAGUGGGUGGUUGUGGCGGAGGCUGCUGAGGCUGGGUUGUAGGCCUAAAUGCCUGACCAAAUGUGGGUCGAAAAAUAGGACGAGGGACAGGAGGUUGAGGUUGAGCCUGAGGCUGAGCUUGUGAUGCUGCCGCAGGUGCUGGAGGUGUGGCGACUGGCCUCAUGGAACCCAGGAUGAGCCAUGGGCGAGAAGGGGGAGGCUGGUUUGCCAUAAUCCAAUAGAAUCAAUCUGAAGCAAGUAGCCCAAAUACUUAACCUGAACAAGAGAUCAAGGAAUUGGCACAGAAAAUAAGUUUCAGGAACUCGGUAUUUAUAAGUUCUGCACCCCUCAAAAAAAAUGCAAAACAUAUCUAGAACUCCAAUAGUACUAGUGCUCAAAACACAUGGGAAACUAUAUGCAGCCGGAGAGAGGAAAUAAGAACAAAAAAAAAAAGCAUCCGAUUCAGGAGAUUGCACCCUCGUAUGGGUUUCGAUCUUCUGGAUUGUUUAAGGAGAGUUGGCCUCCUUUUUGGGUUUCAUACGGAAUGUCCUCUUGAGAAUAUGGAUCACAUGCAUGUGAAUGUGAUCAAACAUCUCACCUCUUCUUCCUAUAUGGUCUAGAUGGAGUGAAUUCCUUAGCAGGAGUUGACUUAGCCCAUCAUGUCCUACAUUCAUUCAUUGCCCUGGUUACUCUCUUUGAACCAUGCAAGUACAAUGCAUAUCAUCAAUAUCCAUCCAAGGGAAAUGCAAGACUUCAUACAGCAGUUUGGAUCCACUUUAAAGCUUGAUACUGUUAGCUUAAUUUUCAAGGCCGGUAGAAGAAGGAGAUAUUCUAUUGGCUCCUUUGUAGUCUAGGAAUUUAGUGGGAUCCAGCUUGUGAUGAUACCUAAGGCCCUAGUUUUUAUAUGUUAAAAAAUAAUCAUUGAGAUCAAAUAUAAUUUUAAAAAAAAUAUUUAAAUAGAAUUCUAGAAUGUGAGCUCCUUACGUAAUUCCCACAUUGAUCUAAGUUUCAAUGAACGUGAUGUUAUAAGCAUAUGCUUAACUAAGUCAAAUUUUGAUGGAUAUAAAAUUAUGAGAAAGCUUUCUAAUUAAAUGUACAAUGUUUGAAUCUCAAAAGUAACUUUUUGUUUUUUUUUUUUGGAAUAAAGUGCUCCUUAAGCCUAUAUUGAAAAAAGAGCAAAGCUCUUAUUUUUAUUAAAAACAGAAAGUUAGAUAGAUUUUAGUAUAAUAAAAUUUUAAAAAAGAUCAAAAUUAUCUUUAUUUUUCUUACACAAAACCUAUGUUCUUAGGAAGCAAUUUUGAAAACUUAUUUAAGUUUAAAAAAAAAAAUGCUCUUAAUUUUUUGUAAAACACUUUUAAAACAUGGUUUCCAAAUCUUUUAGGAUCUUUCUUUACAAAGCCUUUCAUCCACAACAAAGAUCAUAGACUCUUUAUCUCUUAAACUUUUGAUAAAGGUUUGAAGGAUUUGCUAAUGAGCAGAGGAUAAUGUUUGCAUUAGGGAUGUGUGUUAGUGUAUUAAGCAAUUUUAAUUAAGUUAGUAAUUUUAUUUCAUUCAUCUUGUUUAGGAUUAUACGUGUUUUCCUAUAAUUUACAUUCUUUUUAAGAUUCAAUGCUACUGUAUAAUCAACUUAGGAUUAAACAAGUAUGAUUGAGUUAAUUGAGAGUAAUGACAUAAAAAAUAUAAAGUGGACUUAUGAAAAUUUGGAAUAAAAUUAAUUUGAAAAGAAUUUUAAAUUGAGAAUUUAAAAAAAAAAAUCCAAAUAAUAAAAACAAUUUGGAAGGAAGUGUUUCUAAAUCUUUUUUAACUUAAAAAGAAAAAAAAAAUUCUUAGAGUUUUAAGUUUUCUAAAUGAUUUUUUAGUAAAAUAUGAAAUCUCUUCAAAUCUUACUAAAAUUCUUAAAUUUUCUAAAUUAGUUUUUCAUAAAAAAUGAAUUUCAAAUUCACUAGGUUUUCUGUAAUAUAUACAUAUUAGGAGAGUUCUCUCAAGAGUUCAUGAACCUAAACUUGUUAAGUCAUUAUUCUUUCUGCUUAACCUAAAACUUUCAAAAAGUUUGUAAUUCAUUUUCUUGGUUUACAAGAGAGAUUUGAAUCCGCUCAAGACGUUAAGAAGUCCACUAAGGAAUAUGAUAGUACUGUUGAAUAUGAGAUUAGGUGUAACUCCUAGGGACUAACAAAUGUUAAGUAAAUUUAAUUAUAUACCUCUUCUUCAUAUUUAAUGGAUCAUAACUCAACAUUAUUUGACUUUGUGAUUUAAUUUCUACACUUAUAAAAUCUUUGGGAGGCUUUGUAGAUGGUUUUCCAUAUAAAUCGUGGUUUGUUAGUGCAAUUGAAUUUUUCCACUUCAUCUCUAAUUAUUAAAGAGGAAUUUUAAAAAUAAAAAUUUGAGCUAAAAAGAAAGAAGUUCCUAUUCAACCCCCCUUUUUCUCUCUCUAGGUAUUCUAUUAAGAAGAUCUACAAACAUUCCGUUUGGUGUUAGAACAAGGAAAAAUUUAUAAAUUAAAAUUUUCUUCUAUUCUUAUCUUUGAUCUUGUUUUCAUAGAAUUUAAAGAAAAGAAAAAAAAAAGUUUACUUUUCCCUUGUGAAAAAGAUUUCAUGAUUGAGAAAUAUUGCCUAAAAAAAAUUGAAUAAAAAAAUUUAAGAAACAAGAAUUUCCGUAUGAAUCUUUGUCCCUUGAAUAAAAAAAAAAGAACAACAUGAAGUAAUUGUUAAAUUAAAUAAACAAAAAUUAUCACUUUCGAAUAAAGUUGUCUUUAUGGAAAAAGAAAAUUAUGAGUUUCAUAAAAAUGAAAAAUUAAAGUAAAAAAUUUCAAGAAAGAAUUAUCUCAUAGAAAAAAGUUAAUCCCCAGAAAAAUAAGAAAAUCAAGAAAGCUACUUAGAGUGAUUUUAAGUUAAGUAUAAGUAAAUCAUCGAAUUUGGGUGAGAUUAAAAAUAAUCAAAAUGAUUAUCUAGUUUUCAUUGCAUCUCUUGUUUCUAAUAAUUAUGAUAGAAGUGAUAGUGAUCUUGAUGAAAAUGUCUCUAUCAUCGAGGAAUGGUGUGAAGAAUAUCAAUUGUUAUUGAAUGAAUGCAUUAAGAUAACUACUACUAAUGAAUCUCUAAAAAAUGAGAAUUGUGUGUUAAAAGAAGAGGAAGAAAAUCAUCUUGAAAAUAUUCAUUUUCUUGAUAAUGAACAUAGAUUAUAAUAUUCUAUUUCUAGAAUUUUAAAAACAAAGAAAAGAAUUUAGAAAUAAAAUUUAGAAAGAAUUAAAGCUUUAUUAUCGUCCAUCACUCUCUUCUUUUGAAAUAUUACAUAAUAUUUAAUUUAUAGAUAUUCACACUUUGAUGGUGGAAAUUUGGAUUUUUUUUAUAAUGAAAUCAAUUAUUUAAUUUCUUGUUCAUAUAAUGGAUGUCUUCUUGUUAAUUGUAACCCUUUGUUGGGAUUGAGCCAAAUAUGGACAAGAAAUUAAUUUCUAGUUCAAAGCUUGAACGAAAGUAUGGGAAGCCCAAGCCUGGCCCGAAUUCAAUAUUACAAGAAGGCUCAAGCCGUUUACAUGGCUAAUCGAAGGUUCAUGUAGAGUUUAAAUCUGCCUCAAAACAAAGGCAAGCUCCCAAUAAUUAUAUAUAGCGCAUAUCUUUUGCAGUAAAGAAACAAAGAAAUUCAAAAAAUAAGGGGGGGAAAACAGUUUCAAAUUUGGUAUUACUGUGUGAAAAAUGACUGCAUGCACUCUUAGGCUACCUCUCAUCCCUUACAAAAGGAUCAAAUUCAAACCAUACACUCAAUACUAAUACAAAUCAAAUGCAAACUACACCUUUUAUUUCUUCCCCCAUUCACCAUCAACUCACUCUUACAAACACAUAAAUAUUCGAAUCAGGACAUGGGUCACCAUCAUAGGUUACAUGCCAUCUGAAUAUCUGGAACACAAACAUGGAGAAUCAGAACCCGGGCCUUUUUCUCAUCACCAGUCACUUUUAUUUAUUCUCUUACAUAUACAUCCCUCGUAUAAUCUAAUCAUUUUGAAAAUGAAAAAGCUUAAUUAAUUUUAUGCAUGCAGUCUGUUUGAUCUCUAGUUAUUUUUCCCAUCUCCACAGUCCAUGAGAUGCAGUCCACGGCCACCACCACGAGAGAAGAAAACAUGGACACCAGGCUCGUGGUUGGUGCAAGAGGCGUUCACGAGAAUGGAGUUGUUAACGGCUUGAACAUUGCUAUUCAUAAAUAUAUUCAAGAGUGGUGAUGGGGUCGCCAUUGUGUUGGAGUUGCCUUGGGGAUCGUGUUUCUUGCUGGCGGGGUUGAGCUCCAUUAUAGCUCCCUUGUUGUCUCCUGCAAUUGUUGUGAUCUUCAUGCUGUUAUCCUUAGAGUGCGCUUUCUUGUGAUUACCUUCGUGGUCUUUGCUCUCCAUGUCCUUGGUCUUCUCAAUCUUCUCGUAGUCAAGGACGCUGCUUGGCUUCACAGUGUCGCCCACAUCCUUUUGCAGUCCACCACUGGAUGGCUUGAAUGGUGGAUUGGGCUUUUCGAUGGUCAUGGUCUUCUGCUCAAUUGGCUCAGGAGUGGAUUUUACGUAGGCAGGAAGCAGAGUUAGAGUUGAUGGGGGAGGAGAAGUUGGUUUGAUUUUCUCAGAAGGAGGUGUGGUUUUCUGACUCGGAUUAGAUGGAACCGAUGAAACAUUCCCAACCCGGAAAGGUGGAGCUGCAGUAGCAGCAGUGGGUGGUUGUGGCGGAGGCUGCUGAGGCUGGGUUGUAGGCCUAAAUGCCUGACCAAAUGUGGGUCGAAAAAUAGGACGAGGGGCAGGAGGUUGAGGUUGAGCCUGAGCCUGAGCUGGUGAUGCUGCCGCAGGUGCUGGAGGUGUGGCGACUGGCCUCAUGGAACCCAGGAUGAGCCAUGGGCGAGAAGGGGGAGGCUGGUUUGCCAUAAUCCAAUAGAAUCAAUCUGAAGCAAGUAGCCCAAAUACUUAACCUGAACAAGAGAUCAAGGAAUUGGCACAGAAAAUAAGUUUCAGGAACUCGGUAUUUAUAAGUUCUGCACCCCUCAAAAAAAAUGCAAAACAUAUCUAGAACUCCAAUAGUACUAGUGCUCAAAACACAUGGGAAACUAUAUGUAGCCGGAGAGAGGAAAUAAGAACAAAAAAAAAAGCAUCCGAUUCAAGAGAUUGCACCCUCGUAUGGGUUUCGAUCUUCUGGAUUGUUUAAGGAGAGUUGGCCUCUUUUUUGGGUUUCAUACGGAAUGUCCUCUUGAGAAUAUGGAUCACAUGCAUGUGAAUGUGAUCAAACAUCUCACCUCUUCUUCCUAUAUGGUCUAGAUGGAGUGAAUUCCUUAGCAGGAGUUGAGUUAGCCCAUCAUGUCCUUUAUUCAUUCACUGCCCUGGUUAUUCUCACUAAACCAUGCAAAUACAAUGCAUAUCAUCAAUAUCCAUCCAAGGGAAAUCGAAGACUUAAUACAGCAGUUUGGACCACACUUUAAAGCUUGAUAUUGUUAGCUUAAUUUUCAAGGCCAGUGGAAGAAGGAGAUAUCCUAUUGGCUCCUUUGUAGUCUAGGAAUUUAGUGGGAUCCAGCUUGUGAUGAUACCUAAGGCCCUAGUUUUUAUAUGUUAAAAAAUAAUGUUUGAGAUCAAAUAUAGUUUUUAAAAAAUAUUUAAAUAGAAUUCUAGAAUGUGAGCUCCUGGAAUAAAAUUAAUUUGAAAAGAAUUUUAAACUGAGAAUUUAAGUCCCAAAUAAUAAAAACAAUUUGGAAGAUGUUCAAGCCGUUAACAACUCCAUUCUCGUCAACACCUCGAUCCUGGUGUCCGUGUUUUCUUCUCUCGUGGUGGUGGCCGUGGACUGCAUCUCAAGGACUGUGGAGAUGGGCAAAAUAACUAGACAUCAAACAGCUAGCAUGCAUAAAAUUAAUUAAGCUUUUUCGUUUUCAAAAUUCUUAGAUUAUACGAGGGAUGUAUAUGUAAGAGAAUAAAUAAAAGUGACUGGUGACGAGAAAAAGGCCAGGGUUCUGAUUCUCCAUGUUUGUGCUCCAGAUCUUCAGAUGGAAUGCAACCCAAGAUGGCAACUCUUGCCCUCAUUUGAAUAUUUAUGUGUUUGUAAGAGUGAUUUGAUAGUGAAUGGGGAAGGAAUAAAAGGUACUUUAUUUGUAUUAGUGUUGAAUGUAUGAGUUGCAAUUUGAUCCCAUUCUGAGGGAUGAGGGCUAGCCUUAGAUUAUGUAUGCUGUGAUUUUUCACUCAUUAAUACUAAAUUCGAAAUUGUUUUUCUUUCUUCCCUUUUAUUUUUUCAAUUUCAUUAAUACUCUCCUUAACAGCGUUUGAAUUCCUUCAGAGCAUUUGAACUCCAUCCGGGUGUUUGAACGCUCUCCCUCAUUCCCAAGUUUUGAUCUUUUUCCCAUAGCUUUGUGUUAGCUAUUUUAUAAGUUUUACCAACCAUAAAUACAUACUUAUCUCAAAAUUGACGACUUUGAAUCAAGUCAGAGCGAGACAUGAUGAGAUGAAAGCCGAAUGUACAAGAAUAUGGCCUAAGGAAAUAAGUUAUAUUUGAUCAAAAUAAGAAAUGAACCAAAAUUAUCAAAUACACCUAAAAUUGUCAACAAAACUAAUGAUUCUAAAAUAGAAAUUAAUAUAAAAACUAAAAAAGUAUUAUUAUUAUUAUUAUUGUUAAUUAAAAAAAAUAGAGUUUUGCAUUCUUUCAAUAUAGGCUAAAGGAGCACUUCAUUCCAAAAAUACAAAAAUGUUACUUUCGAGAUUCAAACAUUGGAGGUCUAGAAAGCUUUGUCAUAAUUAAUUUUAAUAUCCAUCAAAAUUUUAAUUAAUUAGAAAUAUGCUAAUUACAUCAGGUUCAUUAAAACAUAGAUAAAUGCGGGAAGUACAUAUGGAGCGCUUCUUUUAGAAUUCUAUUUAAAUAUUUUUUUUUAAAUUGUGAUUGAUUUUCAAUAAGUUAUUUCUAACAUAUGAAAAAUUAGGGUUUUAAUUAAUUAAGCACCAUGACAAGCUUGACAUUAAGGUUCAGGUGCCCUUAAAAGUGAGGGAGAGGUCCAAGGCUCCUGCCCCUCUGCCUAUUUUUCGACCACAUUUGGUCAGGCAUUUAGACCUACGGCCCGGCCUCAGCUGUCACCGCCUGCUGCUACUGCAGCGCCAUCUUUCCCGGUUGGCAGUGUUUUAUCAGUUCCAUCUCAUCUGAGUCGGAUAAUCAAACCACCUACUCCUCCUUUAUCUCCCCUAUCUCUGCCUCCUGCCCAGGUAAAAUUCACUCCUGAGCCCAUUGAGCAAGACUCUGCUCAUGGAAAAGCCCAAGCCACCAUUCAAGCCCUCCAAUGGUGAGCUGCAAAAGGAUGUGGACGACACUGCGAAGCCAAUCGUUGUCCCUGACUACGAGAAGCGUGAGCAGACCAAGGACCACAAAGGUAUUCACAAGAAAGCAGACUGUGAUCAGGAUGACAGCAUGAAGAUCAUAACAAUUGCAGGGGACAUCAGGGGAGCUAUAAUGGAGCUAAGCCCCGCCGGCAAGAAACACGAACCCCAAGGCAACUCGAACACACUCAUCAAGACCAACCCCAAAACUUGGUGGUGCAGAAAAUUAGGAAGCACGCCAGUAGCUGCGACGAAGAGAAGUCAAAAAAGAUGGACACGAUUCAAAACAAAAUGGGGAACCCCUCACCACCCAUGAAUGCGCGCUCAUUCAUGAACAGCAAUAUACGAGCCGUUAUCAACUCCAUUCUCUUCCACACCUCUUGCACCGACCAUGAUCAUGAUCUUGGUGUAAGUGUUUUCUUCGCUGUAUUGGAAAGUUAAACGUAAUUUAGAAACUGAGAAUACUUCAAUUUUUGCAAUGUUUUCAAAAUCCUUUCUGUUAUUGAAAAUAUUAUCAGUUCCUGGAUCAUGGUCUCUGUUAAAUAAUAUCAUAAACAUAUAAUUUAUAUAUUAUUAAAAUUAAAAAUAUUAUAUAAAGUUUUUUAGAUAUAUAAAAAAAUUAAAAAUCAAUAAUAUUUAUUUUUUUAUCUUUAAUAUUAUCAAAUUAAAUUAUAGAUGUAUUAAUAUUUUAAUAUUUUAUUAAAUAACAUAUGUAUCUAUAAUAUUUAAAUAUAAAUAUAUUUAUUAAAAGUUAUUUAAUUUUGCUCUAUAUAUAUUACAUUGUUUUAUUUAUAAUAUUUACAUUUUUACUAUAAUAAAAAUUUUGAGAAGAAUUUUACAUGUAUAGCGUGCGUUUGUUCGAACCCCCAGGUUGCAUCCAUAUCUUAUGGAUUUUUCUCAACCCUCCCUUCGUACAAUCCCACAUCGGAAGCGGAUUAAGAAUAAAAUGCGUUUUUUUUGUCCAUUGCCCACUCACACAAACAUGGCAUAUCUCCACACACUGUUUUAGUAGAUCGUCGUUCUCUCCGGUGUAAGAUGCACGGUUGAUACUUUUAAACAUCUAUAAAUACGAGAUCAUGUAAUGUUUGAAAAAAUAAAAAAAGUGGUGAAAGAUAAUAAAGUUUUAAUUCUACCCAAUUUUAAUCUUAUUUUCUAAUUGUUUAUAUUUGUCCUUUUCACCGGUGAUGAUGGGUCGCCAUUGUGUUGGAGUUGCCUUGGGGGUCGUGUUUCUUGCUGGCGGGGCUGAGCCUCAUUAUAGCUCCCUUGUUGUCCCCUGCAAUUGUUAUGAUCUCCAUGUUGUUAUCCUUAAGAGUGUGCUUUCUUGUGAUUACCUUUGUGGUCUUUGCUCUCCAUGUCCUUGGUCUUCUCAAGCUUCUCGUAGUUAAGGACACUGCUUGGCUUCGCAGUGUCGCCCACAUCCUUUUGCAGUCGUCCAUUGGAUGGCUUGAAUGGUGGAUUGGGCUUUUCGAUGAGCAUUGUUGAGGCCUCGCGUCCCUGGUGAUCCAUGUAGUUGCCAAAUGGAUGGACGCACGAUCUCAAUCAAUAUAGAUUCCUGGUUCAGUUGUUCCUGCAAAAGGCGUCCGGACAGGGUGUCCGGACGCACCCUCCGAUGGUUUUGUCAGCCAUGGUAAGAGAGAUAAAUCAGUUGGUCUUUUUUUGGGUAUCGCAAGCUUACCUUCCUCUUUGUGUGAAGGUUUAUAUAUAUAGUACCAGAAGCUCUGUUUCCCUCUUUAAUGGUAGGGAGAUAUUUUGGUUUGUCAUGAUGCCACUAGGUGGUGGCAAGGCCAUCAUCACCCUACGGGCGGCUGACAGAGAUCGUGGGAGGCGUCGCGGUUGUCAGAGAUCGUGGGAAGUGACUUGUCGUCACUUCAUUCCUGUUCUUUCACUCUGCAGGUGGCGGAACGUGGGCCAUGGCAGGCUAUUGUGAUGACGUGUAAGACUUGCUUACUUCAGUCAAUGAUCCGGACAAACAUAUCCGGAUAGUAUAUGUCGGUCGUCCGGAUGCGAUGUGGCGGUCGUCCGAAUGUUAUGUUUGUGAGUGUCGUGUGCCUCUCCUUGAGGGAGUCCGGAUAUGAGAAGCGCGCCACGUGUACUCUUGGGGAAAUCCGGAUGAGAAUGCGUGCCACGUGUCAUCAGGAUAUGUGUGCCACGUGUCAUCAGGGGGAGAGGUCCCUACAAUGCCCCCCUUUUUAACUUGCCGAUUUUGCCUUAGCAAAAUGGGUGGGUUAAAAAAUAAUUAUUUUUUGAAACUGAGGUUACUUUUUUGCGCUCAUUGGGCCACGUGGCGAGCUGGGGUGAAGAGAGAGAAGAACAUUUAUGAUGAGCCGCCGUCUCUAGGUAUUCCCAGGCAGCGUGUCGUUUCAAUGAUGGCGUAGCUGAGCGUUUGGGAUACCGAGGGGCUAUCUCCCUAUAAAUAGUAGACUGAGCCCUCACUUUGCAUUUUUCCUUCUGUGUUUUUCUCCUGUUAGUGCUUUUUCUUCUACCUUCUGCGUAUCUUCGUUUUUGAGUGAAGCUCUAGGGUUUUCUGCAGGCAAUAUUCGCGUCGUGACGGUGACUGCAUUGCGGUUUUCAACCCUAUUUUUCCAGUUUACACUCGGUACGUUCGCUUUUCUUGUCUUUUUCUUGUUGUGUUUGUCUUAUUGGUUGUUUCUGGCUUGCUUGGGCAAGUUGGUUGCGACUGGGUGUUGAUAUUGGUUUCUAGGGCUUUUUCGGGGGGUUUUUGACUGUUUUUCUGGGUGUGUUUAGGAUUUUUGUUGCCCCUCUGUUCUUUUUGUGGGUUGUCAAUCUUUCUUUGUGGUAGAGUUAAGCUUGUGGGGUCGGUUUGCUGUGUUUUGACUGUUGGUACUUCUUCCAUGCAGAUUCCACUCCAGUCCCAGCCUAAAAAAUGUCUGCGAACAAGGAAGCUACUUCAUCUAGCUCGUCUGGAGAUGCUCAUGCUGAGAAAUAUGUGGAUAAGUUGAGUGUGAAGGAGUUUCGCGAACGGUUCUGCAUCCCAAAUGGCGUGUUCGUGGAACUUGUGAACGGAGAGGUCGUGACGACUGAGAAGUCUGAGGACAAUGCCAUCUUCUUCACCAAGGAGCAAUUCAACGCUGGGCUCCGAUUCCCCCUCCCGUCUUUGGUCAAGGAAUUUCUUCACUUCACCCAGAUUCCUCCGGCGUAUAUUCAUCCCAACAUGGUCCGGGUGUUGAUGGGGUGCAGCAUUCUGAGCAUGCUGUUCAAUCUGGACUUGUCGCUGCUGGAGGUUCUCUUUAUUUAUUCGAUCAAGAAGGCGAAAAAUGACAUUUUUAGUUUUGUCGCUUGCCUUCCGUCCCUGCAGUUGGUGACCAGCCUGCCGGAUUCGACCAAGGGGGCCGCCAAGGAACAUGUGUUGGUCAAGGGCCUAUGGGCGGGUUUGGCGGUGCAUCCGGAUAGGCCGUUCGCCUCCAACCAGUCGCUGAAGGUCCCAGGUAUAACUAAAUUACUUCCUGUCUUUCCGUGGUUUGUGAGUUUAGGUCAGCAUUGUUAGAUGGCUGACAUACUUUGCUUUCUUGGGUACAGGCCAAGAUAAAAGGGGAAAGCUGGUGGAAUGGGUGGAGAAGGCAUCGUUCGACCGUUUGAACAGGCUAUUCGAGAUUGCGGCGGUCGAGCUGAGUUGUGAAACGCUUCUCUCCGCGCAGAACCUCCGCUCGGUCACCCAGGAGCCCCAACCGUACGUGCUGAACAUACUCCCGAGGCGGCUGCCAAAAGAGGUGGUGGCUGGGGAGCAUUUAGUUCUUAAAGACCUUCCAUUCUACAUGGCGAUGCGGAAGGCAGACGUCCGGUCACGCAAAGCCCAUCUCAACAAGCGGGAGAAGAAAAGGCAAGAAGGGCUUUUGCGGAAGGCUCCUGGUGACAAACGGCCCGUGUCCUCUUCACCUGUUGGCGCUCCAACAAAAAAUAAGAAGAAGAAGGUUUUAAGUAAGGGGAAAGAAGUAAAACUCGCAACUCCCCCGAAGGAGUUUGUAAUACCUCAUUCGACUUUUGUAAAGGAAAUAACAAUAAGAGAGCCAAAACACCCCGUCUUGCCCUCUAUCUCAAGCGGUUCCGGACAUCUCGCGGAUCUAAACCACUCGGGGCCUUCAAUGUUAAUGGCUGGACGUCUAGCUCUUCUGGCUGAGGAAACGACUUCAAUAAAUCAGCCCGACUCUCCCCAUCCAGAUGCGGAUGCAGCCGGGGCCUCUUGUGCUGCAACAUUGCCUCCUUCGGCACCCCCAACGGAAGAAAUGGGGGCAGAAAGUCAGGGUUUGCCUCCUUGCAAGCCAAGCCCCCUUGUCCUCGUACCAGUGAAGGGGCCAGCUACAAGGAGGUCGCGUCCGGCGCGUGACUUGAAGUCUGGCCUCAUCGGGCGGCUUCAGGAUCGUUUUCUGGAAACCAUCGAAGUUAGCUGCUCGUCCGUCCAGGAGGAUCACCGGGAGGGUAGUGAGACGGAGAUGGCAGAAGAGAACCCAGCCACCCCGGUGCUGGUCCCAGAUGAGGGUUCACUUGGAGAGACCCAGCCGGCCGAGAAUGAUGGGGCCCCGGACCUAGAGGAGGAGUCACUCUCUAAUGCCUCAACAGGGGGGAGUCCCGUUGAUGAUGCAGCUUGCAUCUCCGCUAGCUCUUUCAACUACGCGGAGUUGGAAAAGAAGCUGAAAUGGAUUCCAUCCGGCUCAGAUGUUGCUAUGCCUUCAGCAAAAAUGUUCGAAGCGGUGGAAAUGGUAUAGUUUGCUUUCUUGAUUUUUCUCGUCAUACUGUUGUGUUUAUCACAUGGAUUGUAAAUUUUUUACUUUAUGGGUUUUUCUGCUGCUGGUGAGCGGUAUUCGCGGCAUGACUCAACAACGCGAUCUCUUUUUUGACCUGCUGCAGACCGCUGAUUAUACGAAGGCCUUCGUCUCUCAACGCAAAAACAAUGAAGAGAAGCUGCGCUUGAGACUGGAACAGGCCGAAGCCAGUUUAUCCGCUACUCGAGAGGACAACGAGGCUCUCCAGGUAGAGCAUGCUGAGGCAAAGAGCCGGGAGGAAUCUGUGGACGCCCGCUUGCAUGAGGCGGAGGACGAGAUGGCCUAACUGAUGGGGGGAGGUGAGGCAACUCCGGACAGAGGUGUCCAUUGAGAAAAAGCAGAGAGGGGAUUUGCAGUUGCGUUUAUCAGCGCAAAAAGAAGAGUUGGAGGGUGAGUUUGCUGUGGAAAGGGAGGAACUUGAAGCGGAUUACCAGAAGCAAGUAGACGAAAUGUAUUUCUUCGGUUACCGUUGCUGUAUGAAGAAACACGGUAUCAAACGGGACGUCCCUUCAAUUCCCCCGGGUGAGGAGGAGAAGCUGCGCAGCAAGCCUGCUCAAUGAGAGCUUUUUUUUAAAAAAAAAAAAUUUUUACUGCUAUCUUCUCUCUGUAUUUUGUAGUCCGGAGAACUCUCUGUAUACAACUUCACAAGUAUUAAUAAAACAUAUUUAUUCAACUUGUACUUGUCUCUUUCUUUCAUUGGUAAUACUGCUUUAAAUUGGACACAUUCCAUGGUUUGAGUAAUGGGGUUCCGUCUAACUUUUGUAGAUGAUAAGCUCCACUUUCACUUGCCUUAGAUACUAUAUAGGGGCCUUCCCAGUUGGCUUGAAAUUUUCCCGCUCCUGUCUCAGCAGUAUUUUCGAAAACUUUUCUAAGGACCAGCGUACCAUUUUUGAAGCUUCUAGGCCUUACUUUACAAUUGUAAUGAGCGGAUGCCCUUUGUUGAUAGUCUGUCAUCCGGAUGGAUGCAGUUUCCCUUACUUCGUCUGUCCAGUCCAAGUUUCUUCCUAAUUCUGCAUUUGCAUCACCCUGUCUUCCUGCCUCGGUCCGGAUGGUGGGAAGCCCUAUCUCAGUAGGAAUGAUUGCGUCCAUACCGUAUGCGAGGGCGAAGGGAGUGUUUCCUGUCGGACGUCCGGGUGUGGUUCAAUAAGCCCACAGGACGUCGGGUAACUCCUCCACCCAUUUUCCUUUGGCUUGCUCAAGCCUCUUCUUUAAGGCAGUGAUUAGAGUCUUGUUUGUGGCCUCUGCUUGCCCAUUACUUUGAGGGUAACGUGGUGUGGAGUAUGUAUUCCGGAUGUUUAGUUCCGAACAGAAAUUCUGAAAUGCGAUGCUAUCAAACUGCGGACCGUUAUUGGCUAUAAUGAUUUGGGGGAUUCCGAAGCGGCAGAUGACGUUUUUCCAUACGAACUUGGUGACAUCUUUGUCUUUGAUGCUAGCCUAUGCUUCAGCUUCUACCCAUUUACGGAAGUAAUCCGUGGCGACGAGCAGGAAUUUCUUCUGGGCGGGUGCGGCUGGGAGGGGUCCCACUAUGUCCAUGCCCUACUGCGCAAAGGGCCAAGGGCCUGAAAUUGGUUUUAAUGUCUCCGAUGGCACAUGUGGUACGGGAGCAUGCCUUUGACAUUUGUCGCAUUUUUUGACAUAGGCUGCCGCAUCCUUCUUCAUCGUGGGCCAGUAAUAUCCUUGCGAAUGGGCCCUAUACGCCAGAGAUCGUCCUCUAGAAUGAUUUCCACAUACCCCCUCGUGCAAUUCAGCUAAUACAUACAGGGCCUCUGAAUGGUUUAGGCACAGAAGGUAGGGACCUGUGAAGGAUCGUUUGUACAAGUGCCCUCCAAUCAGGGUGAAACGGGCGGCUUGCACCCGGAUUUUGUGUGUCUGCUUGGUAUCCUCGGGCAGAGUGCCUGUCCGGAGGUACCCUAUAAUGUCGUUCGUCCACUCUUGGCCGUCUGCUUGUUUUGCCUCAAUGGUGUUGCAAGUGGAAGCUUCCGCGACGGAAGGGUUGGUUUGCACAUGUAUAGGCAACAAUAUGGCUUCUUUGAUGGGGAGGGAGGUAGCUAUGCCUGCCAAGGCGUCGGUGCGCCCAUUUUUAGUUCUUCUGAUUUUUUCGAUCGUCCAUUCGGUGAAUCGUUGUAAGGUGUCCCUUACUUUAGUUAGAUAUCGCGCCAUGCGCGCAUCCUUAGCUUCGUAUUCCUUCUGGACGUGUCUUACCACGAGUUGAGAAUCACUAUAGACCCGGAGUUUAGAGACGGAUAGAGCCAGGGCGAGGUCCAAUCCGGAUAGGAUGACCUCAUAUUCCGCUUCAUUGUUAGAAGCGGGGAACUGAUUGGAGCCAAAAUAUGUGCUCUAAUGGUACAUAUUCGAUAUGAUUUGUACACCAAAAGACAUCCAAAUCACCCAACUUGACCUAAAUCAAUGCUAAGGCCCUAGCCAUGAGUUUAAUCUAUACUUUGGAGAUUUAUCUCAGGUUCAAGGGAAGAAAAUUGUGCAAAUUGAAUGACUUUAGAUUUUGAAAGAUCAAGAAAGGGCUAAAUGAGGAAAUAAGUGAGUCAAGAUUCAUCGAAUGCAAGGAAAGGCAAAACAAGGAUAUCAUGAGGUUGGAGGAUGAUAAAUGACCAUUAUGGAGUAAGAAAGAAGGCAAGAAAGAAUGGGAAAUGAGGCAUGAAGCAAGAUUUAGUUGCAUGAAAAUUUAGAACUCAAAAAUCUGAUGGCAUUAUAUACUUUGACUUUGAGGACAAAUUUGGAGCACUUUCUGGAGUCCAUUAUAUACAUACUAUAUAUCGUUUCGAAGCUCGGGAAGUCAGGAGUCCAACACUUCAAACGGUUUGCAAAUCGGAGCUGAAAUGAAGAAGUUAUGGCCAUUUNNNNNNNNNNNNNNNNNNNNNNNNNNNNNNNNNNNNNNNNNNNNNNNNNNNNNNNNNNNNNNNNNNNNNNNNNNNNNNNNNNNNNNNNNNNNNNNNNNNNNNNNNNNNNNNNNNNNNNNNNNNNNNNNNNNNNNNNNNNNNNNNNNNNNNNNNNNNNNNNNNNNNNNNNNNNNNNNNNNNNNNNNNNNNNNUUAGGAAUGAUACGAUAGGUAUACUGAUACUAGUGAUCUGGUAAUCUGAUCAUAGUAUCCUCGUUUCCUACCGUUAUUUGCCCCUAAACAAAGCUAUAAGGAGUAGGAAGGGUUAAAAAGCCAAAUCUUAAAUUGAUAAUCAAUCUCAUUCAUUUGAUGGUUUUAGGAAUCUGUUUGAAAAAGGAAAAAUUAGGUUUCGGAUGCAAUUUUGAGUUAUAGAACCCAACUUGAUCGCGAGUGGCCAAGGAUCCCAAAACCCUAAGAUCAUAUUACUUAAAAUACCCUUGUUUUCUAUAAUUUCUAUACCCUAGGUUGGAUUGUGGAAAACCCCAAACUUGAAUCAAUUGAAUUUAAAAUCAAUAUUCAUUUUCUCUUAUUAAUCCAAUUUCUUUUACUUAGUUUCACAUUAUUCACAUAUUGUUUUUCACUUAAGGAUUUAAACAAAAAAACAAUUCAUUUAUUCUAGUAUUGACAAUUUUCAUAAGCCAGUCCUUGAGAACGAUACCCGGAAUACUACAAAAGCCGUAGUGACUCUUUCUCUAGUUUUUCUUGACCAGAGUUACUACGUAAAAAGGCUAAGUAUUUUGGUGCAAUAGAGAAAUAUCGGUCAAGAAAAUGGCGCCGCUGCCGGGGAUUGGCAAUCGUCAUAACUAGGAUAUAGUGCAUUGCUUUGUUUUAGUUCUUUUUUUUUUUUUUUAUCUUUAUACAUAUUUUUCUUCUAUUUUAUGCUUGGUUGGGAAAGAGAUAUUUCAGGUAGACUUCAAAGAACAACUGAGGAAUCUCAACCAAAUAUGGAGGACACUGAAGAAUUCAACAGUAAUAACAACAGGCCACGACCACCUGUGCAGGGCCAAAGAACUAUGAGAGAGCUUCUAAAUCCUCCCAGGUUGAGCACACCAUCGUGUUUUAUGCUACCUCAAAAUCAUGAUCAUGUUACCAUUCGGCCUCAAGUGGUGUCUCAACUACCCAUUUUUAGGGGGACAGAAAAUGAAAAUCCAUACUCUCACAUCAAGGAAUUUGAGGACAUCGUUUCAAUUUUUCGAGAAGCCAACACUCCUUUGGAGAUCUUUCGCAUGAAGCUAUUCCCCUUGUCAUUGAAGGAUAAAGCUAAGACUUGGUUAAAUAGUCUUAGACCUUAUAGUAUCAGAAAUUGGGGUGAUCUACAAUCAGUGUUUUUGCAGAAAUUCUUUCCAACACAUAGAACCAGUGCAUUGAAAAAGAAGAUCUCGAAUUUCAAGGCUAUGGAGGAUGAGAAAUUUUUUGCAUGUUGGGAAAGAUUCAGGGAGAUUGUUGCGGCUUGCCCCCAUCACGAAUUUGACAACUGGAUGCUAGUUUCGUAUUUUUAUGAAGGCAUGGCACUACCAAUGAAACAACUUCUCGAGACUAUGUGUGGAGGAGAUUUCAUGAAUAAAAACCCCGAUGAAGCAUUUCAAUUCCUUGAUUAUGUUGCUGAGGUAUCUAGAAGUUGGGAUGAACCAAUCGUCAAGGAACCAUCUAGAGAUAGAACAAUGAACAGGGCAAGAGCUAGUGGAGUGUAUACCUUACCAGAGGGUUUAGAUGUCCAAGCAAAGCUAGCAACCGUUAUGAGAAGGUUGGAUGAUUUGGAAACCAAGGGAGUUCAAGAGGUACAAAUAGUCAAUGAUGGGGUAACUCAAUUGUGCUUGAUAUGUAAGUCUACAGAACAUGGUGUGCAAUCUUGUCCCACUCUACCUGCAGUGCAAGAUAUGUUUACGGAGCAAGCCAAUACCUUAGGGACAUACAAGCAAUAUUCUAGCAAUUCUCCAUAUUCCAACACUUAUAAUCCGGGUUGGAGGAAUCAUCCAAAUCUAUCAUGGAGGGGAGGUAACAAUGGCCAGUUUCAACAACAAGGAAACCGAUUUCAGGAUAAUCAGACUAAUGGGCAGCAAGGUUUUCAACCACAAGGUAUGCCAUCUCAGAAUUUUCAACAGCAACAUCAAGCCUCAUCAUCUAACUCAAGCCUGGAAGACAUGAUGAGAGAGUUUAUACAGAAGCAAGACAAGCGUAAUGAAGAUCAAAAUAGGAUAAAUGCUCAAACAUCUCAAGAACUAGUAGAUAUUCGAACCACUUUGAACCAACUNNNNNNNNNNNNNNNNNNNNNNNNNNNNNNNNNNNNNNNNNNNNNNNNNNNNNNNNNNNNNNNNNNNNNNNNNNNNNNNNNNNNNNNNNNNNNNNNNNNNNNNNNNNNNNNNNNNNNNNNNNNNNNNNNNNNNNNNNNNNNNNNNNNNNNNNNNNNNNNNNUAAAUUAAGCAAGAAAGCAUUCCUCACCGAGCAAGUCAGUGCCAUCAUUGAGAAUAAAGCAAUGGUGAAGUACAAAGAUCCAGGUUGUCCUACCAUCUCAGUCCAGAUUGGAGAUUCAUUCGUGGAAAGGGCUUUGUUAGAUUUGGGAGCUAGUGUGAAUUUGCUUCCAUAUUCAAUCUAUAAGCAAUUAGGAUUGGGAGAGCUUAAAGCCACUACCAUUACACUCUCUUUAGCAGAUCGUUCGAUUAAAGUACCUAGAGGAGUAGUCGAAGAUGUUUUGGUGCAAGUUGAAAAGUUCUACUACCCAGUGGACUUUGUGGUGUUAGAUACAGAACCAUUGAAAAAGGGUAUGAAUUCUGUUCCAAUUAUUCUUGGGAGACCCUUCCUUGCUACAGCCAAUGCUCUCAUUAACUGUCGAAAUGGAUUGAUGCAAUUAUCUUUUGGGAACAUGACAGUGGAAAUGAAUGUUUUCAAUUUAUGCAAGCAACCAAUGGACCAUGAUGAUGUGGAAAAUGAGGAAGCAUGCCUUAUAGAGGCUUUGGUGCAAGAACACACAGAAAAGUUAAUGGAAGAAAAUAUAGAUGAAUUUUUCUCUACAAUCGUUAAGGAAGAAUGUGUUCAAGUUGCUACAGAAUGGAAAGAAAAAUAUACGAUUCAAUCUUUGAACAGUGUUGAGAAUGAUGAAGAAAGCAAAAAGGAAGAGGUUGAGAUCAGCAAACCAGAGUUAAAGCCCCUGCCACAUGGUUUAAAGUAUGUUUAUUUAGAGGCAAAUGAAGAAAAACCUGUGGUAAUUUCAGCUACAUUAACUGAAGAGCAAGAAAUGAAACUUUUGAAGGUGCUUAAAGAGAAUAAAAGAGCGAUUGGUUGGUCCAUUUCAGAUUUGAAAGGGAUAAAUCCCUUGAUUUGCACGCAUCAUAUUUAUUUGGAAGAGAAUGCAAAACCAGUAAGGCAGCCACAAAGAAGGCUAAAUCCCCUUAUGCAAGAUGUAGUCAGAAAUGAGGUAUUGAAGCUUUUAGAUGCAGGUAUUAUUUAUCCUAUCUCUGACAGUAGUUGGGUGAGCCCCACUCAAGUAGUACCUAAGAAAAGCGGGAUAACUGUGAUGAAAAAUGAUGAAGGAGAGCUCAUUCCUACAAGGUUGACUACAGGUUGGCGAGUAUGCAUUGAUUUUAGGAAGUUGAAUGCAGUCACCAAGAAAGAUCACUUUCCAUUACCUUUCUUAGAUCAGGUUUUGGAGAGGGUAGCUGGUCAUGACUAUUAUUGCUUCUUGGAUGGCUAUUCAGGCUAUUUUCAAAUUGCCAUUGCAUUGGAGGAUCAGGAGAAAACCACAUUCACAUGCCCAUUUGGCACCUAUGCUUAUAGGCGCAUGCCUUUUGGUCUUUGUAAUGCACCGGCCACAUUUCAAAGGUGUAUGCUUAGUAUUUUCAGUGACAUGGUAGAGAGAAUCAUGGAAGUUUUCAUAGAUGAUCUAACUGUUUAUGGGAAGACCUUUGAUGAUUGUCUCUUAAAUUUGAAAAAAGUUUUGAAAAGGUGCAUUGAGAAUGAUUUGGUUCUAAAUUGGGAGAAGUGUCACUUCAUGGCAACCUCAGGGGUAGUACUUGGUCAUAUCAUCUCUAAAGAGGGCAUUCAGGUAGAUCCAGCAAAAAUUGAGCUCAUCUCAAAGCUGCCUUCGCCUACUACUGUUAAAGAGGUGAGACAAUUUUUGGGACAUGCAGGUUUUUAUAGAAGGUUCAUACAAGACUUCUCAAAAAUCGCUCAACCUCUUUGUGCUUUACUACUUAAGGAUGCAGAAUUCAUAUGGACUAAAGCAUGCCAAGAAGCUUUCAAGAGGCUAAAGUCACUCCUCACUACUGCACCAAUUGUGAGAUCUCCAAAUUGGUCUCUCCCAUUUGAGUUGAUGUGCGAUGCUAGUGACUAUGCAGUGGGAGCUGUACUAGGUCAAAGGGAGGAUGGAAAACCAUAUGUGGUGUACUAUGCUAGUAAAACCCUCAAUGAUGCUCAGAAGAACUACACAACUACUGAAAAGGAGCUCCUUGCAGUGGUGUUCGCACUUGAUAAAUUCAGGAACUACCUUUUGGGAACUUCAAUAGUAAUUUUUACUGAUCAUUCGGCCUUGAAAUAUCUACUCAACAAAAAGGAUGCCAAAGCAAGACUUAUCAGAUGGAUCCUUCUCCUUCAAGAAUUUAACAUUCAAAUCAAGGAUAAGCAAGGGGUAGAAAAUGUGGUUGCUGAUCAUCUUUCCCGAGUUAAAGUAGAGUCACAUUUCGAGGAAGCACAAAUUAAUGAUGAGUUUCCUGAUGAUGCACUUUGUGCAGUGGAGAAGUUGCCUUGGUUCGCAAAUAUAGUCAAUUACUUGGCAACCGGAGAGCUUCCAUCAGAAUGGAACAUGGAAACAAAGAAGUAUUUUCUUUCACGGGCAAAACACUAUGCUUGGGAUGAUCCAUAUUUGUAUAAGUUUUGCCCAGAUCAAAUUAUGCGGAGAUGUGUUCCAGAGGAUGAACAACAAGACAUAUUGCGAAUGUGCCAUGAAGGAGCUUGUGGAGGUCAUUUUGCUUCAAGGAAGACUUCAGCAAAAAUUCUACAGAGUGGAUUCUAUUGGCCAACUAUGUUCAAGGAUUGUAACACUCAUUGCAAAAGUUGUCCACAAUGUCAACAACUGGGGAAAAUCAACACAAGGUAUCAAAUGCCUCAAAAUCAUAUUUGUGUUGUUGAGGUCUUUGAUUGUUGGGGCCUGGACUUUAUGGGACCAUUUCCUCCUUCUUUUGGUAAUCUCUAUAUUUUGGUGGGAGUGGAUUAUGUCUCUAAAUGGGUAGAAGCAGUGGCAUGCAAGAGCAAUGAUCACAAAGUGGUGCUCAAAUUUUUAAAGGAGAAUAUUUUCUCUAGGUUUGGCAUUCCGAGAGCAAUCAUUAGUGAUGGAGGUUCACACUUUUGUAAUAAGCCUUUUUCCACUCUUUUGCAGAAAUAUGGAGUGAGGCAUAAAGUGUCCACCCCAUAUCACCCUCAAACGAAUGGGCAAGCUGAGCUAGCAAAUCGGGAAAUUAAGAGAAUCCUCACCAAAGUAGUCAAUACUACAAGAAAAGAUUGGUCUACCAAGUUGAGUGAUGCACUUUGGGCAUAUAGGACAGCCUAUAAGACUGUCCUUGGCAUGUCACCGUACCGAAUUGUUUAUGGUAAAGCAUGUCAUUUGCUUGUAGAACUCGAACAUCGUGCAUAUUGGGCUGUAAAGAAGAUGAACUUUGAUUCGGAUCAAGCUGGAGCUAAAAGGAAAUAUGAUUUGAAUGAACUUGAGGCAUAUCGCAAUGAGAGUUAUGAAUGCCUACGUAAUGCAAGGGAAAAACACAAAUUCUACCAUGACAAGCUUAUUUUACGAAGGGAGUUCAAGCAAGGUGAAAAGGUGUUGUUGUACGACUCCAAGCUUCACAUUUUUCCAGGAAAGCUUAGGUCAAGGUGGAAUGGCCCUUAUGUGGUAAAGGAAGUCUUCCCUUAUGGCACCGUGACCAUUCAAAAUCCGAGGACAGGUAAUGAAUUCAAAGUUAAUGGUCAGCGCCUAAAGCAUUUCAUUGAAAUAUUUGAGACACAAGAGGAGAAUCUCCAUUUUCUUGAUGGGGAUGUUCAAAAGGGUUGAAGCAUUUUCUGAAAAUCCAGUAGGUAAACUUUAAUUUUGUUUUAUUUUAUUUUAUUUAUUUAUUUCUCUUUAUUUAGUUUUGCAUUUUCAAUUAGUCAUUAGCAAUAUGGUUAGCAUUUUUUUAUUUUUUUUUAUUUUUAUUUUUUUUUUAUUUUUAGUUGUUUUAACUUACUAAUGAGUUUAUGAGUUGUAGCAACUUAGCUUGCAAACAUCCGAGUGAUAUAGGUAAAUGCAAACUUCAAGGGAGUGAAAAGGUAAGCCUCACAUGUGUUCAAGGUUGCAAAGCUCCUACAGGUAUGUUGAUCUAUAUUUAAGACCAUUGGUGAACUUUGAAUACAAAGAAUGAAAUACAAAACUGAGUAGCCCUUGGGAGAGAAGAAAUCUUAAAUGGAGAUGACACUUUUGGAGACUAGUAAUGGGUGAUUUCAAUAUUAUGAUCUUUUCGAAUUCAAAUUUUUUGUUUUGGAAUUGCAAUUUUAAAUCUACAGAAAGUGAAUUCGAAUUGAGAUUGAUUUCGAAAUCACUAGUAAAUGGCAAAAUAGGUGUUUUUGAACUCACAAACAAUGAGUUCGAAAUACAAUGAAUUUUGAGAUGGAUUUUGAAUUUCGAAAUGAGCAAUUUUGAUGCUUUACUAUGGAUUUCAGCACUCACAGUGUGUUAUUUCGAAAUGAAGACAAAUUCGAAAUCCAACAAAGUUGCUAUUUCAGAAUAGAAGUGAGAAUCAACAGUGAGUCAUUUCGAAAUAAGAUAGUUUUCGAAUUCAAUGGUCAGAUUUUAAAUUAGGCAUUUUUUUACCAUCAGUUAAUGAAUUCGAAAUCAGGCUAUUUUCGAUUUCAAAAGUUAAAUUUCGAAAUGACUCUUCUUAACCGAAAUCCAAUUCAAAAUACCUAAUUUCUAUUUCGAGCUCAUUUCGAAAUCAUCCAAACGGUCGGUUCCACUUCCAAACCACUUCAUCUCCUCUCCCCCUUGUCUCCUUUUCCCUUGUUCGUCGCCCUAGCUUCCAUUGACGGCAAUUUUAGGGUUUUCGUCGUGGGUUUAUCGCACUCCAGGUACGCAUCACACUCAUACUCGUUUCUUGUUUAUUUUUCAUGGAUUGUUCUUGAUUUUUACGGUUUCAUUGUGCGGUGGUUCUCCAUAUAAAAUGCGGUGUUACCCAACUUUCAUCAACAUUGUUUAGGGUUUCUAUUGUUUCGGGUGGAUAGAUAAAUCGAAGAGAUUAAAUAUAAUGAAAAAAAAAAAAAAAAUUUCCAGGGGGCGCUGCCCCCCAACCCCCGCGAGCUGACCGGGCAGCUCGACCCCCGAAACCCCAAGCGGAGCGCAACAAGAUUGAUUUUGGUUUCAUACAGUCCGUUUGGUUUGCUUGGAAAUUCAGGGUGUUAGGAUUUUUGGUUUAUACUUGGAGAAAAUGUUUGAUUCUUUUUAUAUGACUCUUAGUGCUUGUUGAACAUCCUAUAAUACUUUGAGAGCCAAGUUCUUAUUUUUCCAUGAGUUUUGCAUAAUUGUUGCCUAAUCUAUGUUUUAUAUGCUCUGGAGAUAUUUGAACUUAUGUAUUGUUUGGAUUAUAUCUACGGCUUCAAAGAUUCAUGUUUUCAUCAUUGUUGGACAUCUUGAAUGUUUUCCCGCAUUUUAGGAAUGGUCUACCACCGAUUCACAUGAAUCCAUAGAUUUCAUGAGCAUCUAAUUUUUUUUUAGAUUGUUUUCUUAACCCUUAUGAGUUUUUUUUUUUUUUUUUUUUUUUUAUUUCCCUUCAUUAAGUUUGGUUUGUUUUUUUUUCAACAUUUAUUUCAGAUGGCUAAAGAUAAAAGGAAAGUUAUUAUUCAAAGUGACAAUGAGGCUAGGCAUUCCCCAAGGCAAAAGCGUGCCCGGCCUCUUAUGCAAAGUCGAAGUGGUGUAGUGAUUAGUGAGCCUACCAAGAGGCAUGUCACUAGUCAAGCUAAGCAUGUAGAGGCCAGGACAAAGGCUCGUUUUGAUCGUCCAGCCACUAAGAGGACUAAAGUCAAGCAUGUAGAGGCUAGGACGAAGGCCCGUUUUGAUCGCUCAACCACUAAGCCUACUACCACUCCUCCACAUCCACAGACAUCUCCUCCUCCUACGAGCCCAACAUGUCCUCCAUCUUUAGGAGUUUGUGUUGAUGCCCCUAGGGUGGACCUAUCUCGUCGUGAGUUUGGUCAAGAGUUCUCUUAUGACAUACAGGCUUUUAGUACUUAUGAGCCCACUGCCCAAUCCAUGCGUCUCCUUGAUCGAUACUAUUUUCUCGCAUUGAUGGAUCCUCCCCCAUAUUUUUAUGCCGCUAGUGUACGAGAGUUCUUCUCUACCCUUGAGGAUUGGAGAGGGGGGUAUCGAGAGCUGCAUUUUUCUAUCAGGGGACGAGCUGAUAUUAUCUCCAGUGACACCAUUGCUACAGCUUUUGGUUUACCAUCAUCUGCUCCUCCUGAAGCACGCUUUGCACCUCAGUCACGACCAGCCUUUCCGAGGAUUGCACGUAUACUAGCACCUCAGGGUACUCGUUGUCGUUCAGCCAUCACUCGCCUUGAGAUGCCACAGAUCUUAUGGUUUGUAGAUCAGGUCAUUAAGACCAAUAUUUUUCCAUUUGGACACUCUACAGAGCGCUCUGGUUCAGUCUUAUGGGGGUUAUAUCACAUGUACACAGGCGAGUGGUGGAGUCCUGCUCAACUCAUCAUGGAUACCAUCAUUUAUUUUUUUCAGAAGGUGAAGGAGAAACAGUUAGCUUCAGCUCAAAGCUAUCUCAUUCCUUUGCCUCGGUUGCUCUCAUACUACUUGCUCCGUCGUGGACACCAGUUACCCGAGUCUGAUCGUCGUAUGGCUUCUCACACUUAUGUUAUUGAUCAGUGGGUUCGGGUGAUUCAUUCCGGGUCACAGCUGACUACCCAUGGCACUAGACGAAAGAGAGAUUUGCACGUUGUUCCACUCCCAUCUACUACAGAGAGCCCACUCCCGUCUGUGCCUACUUUUGAUACGAGCUUACCAGUGCUUCCUAUUUCUCUUCCACCACCUCUUUCGGGUGCCCCCGAGCCUACUGUUCCUAUUUCUACACCAGCAGUACCAGUCUCUGAUCUUCCUAGACCUUCACAGCCUCAGGUUGUUGAUGCUACCUCGAGUACCUUAUCGAUCAUGGCUCGUCUAGACACACUUCAGGAGUUAUUUGUGUCUAUGGACUCCCGCAUUGAUGCUCGCCUAAGUAAGCUGGAGACUCGGAUGGAUGACCUCACUUUUUCUGUACAGCAGCUCACUUCCUUGGUUAUUCCAUCUAGACAGAGAGGAGAUUUUGUUACACCAGCUGAUACUAGCCUAGAGGUUGAUGGCGGCACAGAGGUGAUUGGUUCUGGCUCUAACACUAGAGCACCGACAGUAGUCCAUGAGACCAUGCCUGUUUUACAGACAUCAGGUGCUGCAGGACAGGUUGAUGGUGAGAUCUUCAUUCGUGCGACUGACACUGGUAUGGACAUCAUUAUUCGAGAUGACCCCCCUAUGGUACGGGAUCUUGGCGAGGCCAUUACACCUAUCGUGGAGAUUACUGAUCAGGCUACUACACCUAUGUUAGAGGAGAUAGAUGGAGUUGUCACUCCUAUCAUUGGCGCCUGAUGAUCAUUGUUAUAUACACCUUAUUCGAUAUGGUUGUAUACACUAUGGUAUUUUUGGAACAUACUGAUACCCUUAUACUCUCUUUUAGAUUCUCACCACUUAUGUUUUUCUCUAUGCAUACUUUUGCUACUCAUCUUGUUGCUUUUGUGCAAGACUAGUUUAUAUGAAGUCCUCAUAACAAACUUCUCAUUCGAUGAUCUUAAGGUAAUAUCUUCCUUUUUCCUUUCUUUUGACCUAUUAUUCUACACAUUGGGGACAAUGUGUAAUUUAGGUUGAGGGGAGAAGGCUUAUUAGCCUAUUAGCCCUAAUUUUUUUCAAAAGUUUGCAUGUCAUCUUUGGUUAGCUAAUGAGAUUCUCGAUUUGCCUUGGUAACUCAUGGUUUAUUUGGCAUGAGAAUGCUUUAAGUAGUAUUAUUUCUUUAGAGUUUGAGAAAAAAAAAAUGCAGUUAGAGCAAGAGUAUUAGUUCACUUACCUUAUCUUUAUAUACCUUUAAGUGCAAAAAUAGUUAGGUUGAAUCCUUGGAAUACCUUCAAUUUUUCUUUGAUGGUUAUUUUCUAUUUAAGACUCAAAGCACACACAAAACACGUGUACCCUUAUGGUAUCUUGAUUAAGAUAAUUUCUUUAGCUUAAAAAGAGUUGUUCUUAAGCAAUAAAAUGAGGAAAUGAAAAAAAAAAAAUUGAAAAUGACUGAUUUAAGCUUGAGCAAUUAUCUGAGAGGGUAAUGGCCUUGUGUCUUCAAGCCCUGGUGCCCGAAACCAACUGGUUAGGAGUCAUCGGUAUCUUGCUCGUUACAUAAGCUAAACUCAGUUAAAAAAAAAAAAAAAAAAAAAAAAAAAAAAAAAAAAAAAAGAUAAAUGAAAAAUGGAAAAAAAAAAAAAAAUUUGUUUGGGAAAUUCGACCUUGUUCUACCUUGAGCUAGGGUGACACCUGAGGGGUAAGUGGCCUAUAAAGGUCCUCAAUACCUGGUACCUUGGGUGAAAACUCGGGAGUUGCCGGUGGAUCCCUAUUAAGCCAUAUAGAAGGAGAUUUCCUAAACUAAGAAAGAAAAAUCAAAAUAAAAUUUCCUCCUCUUUAACUUAAAGAAUGAUGAAAUUUGAGUUUAAGAAAAAGUCUUAAGAAAAAUACUAUGAGGGGACACCAAAAUUAAGCACAUGAGGUUUAGGUGGAAAGAACCAAUCAAGGGAAAAUCAAGAGACACUAAGGGGAAUGCUAAACAUGGAUGCACAUUUAUGUAUAUGAAGAUAAGGUGAGAAAACUAAGAAAUUGCAUAUCUUGUGUCAUCUUGCUCAAUUCUAGGAAAUUUGUCUACUUGGGUAUCUUGUGUGUGAAACAUGUUAUGAGUUAAUAUGCUUUCAUGAAUCUCAUUACAUAUUUUUCAUUCUUCUUUAUUCUUUUCAUUUGCUAGGGACUAGCAAAGUUUAGGUUGAGGGGGAAUGAUUGGAGCCAAAAUAUGUGCUCUAAUGGUACAUAUUCGAUAUGAUUUGUACACCAAAAGACAUCCAAAUCACCCAACUUGACCUAAAUCAAUGCUAAGGCCCUAGCCAUGAGUUUAAUCUAUACUUUGGAGAUUUAUCUCAGGUUCAAGGGAAGAAAAUUGUGCAAAUUGAAUGACUUUAGAUUUUGAAAGAUCAAGAAAGGGCUAAAUGAGGAAAUAAGUGAGUCAAGAUUCAUCAAAUGCAAGGAAAGGCAAAACAAGGAUAUCAUGAGGUUGGAGGAUGAUAAAUGACCAUUAUGGAGUAAGAAAGAAGGCAAGAAAGAAUGGGAAAUGAGGCAUGAAGCAAGAUUUAGUUGCAUGAAAAUUUAGAACUCAAAAAUCUGAUGGCAUUAUAUACUUUGACUUUGAGGACAAAUUUGGAGCACUUUCUGGAGUCCAUUAUAUACAUACUAUAUAUCGUUUCGAAGCUCGGGAAGUCAGGAGUCCAACACUUCAAACGGUUUGCAAAUCGGAGCUGAAAUGAAGAAGUUAUGGCCAUUUGAAGACAACUGCACCAAGCUGGAAGGUCAUUUCGAAAUGAUUUCGAAAUUCAACUUAUGAUUUCGAAAUUCAACUUAUGAAUUCGAAAUCCACUUCGAAAUGACACCAAUUCCGAAUUCACCCACUGCCACUUUGAUGUUCCGCCUCCUCUACCUCGGGAAUUGCAUCUAAAGCACUCCAUCCGCCCUAGGUGGACCCCACACGAUUAGAAAUCACCAUUUUAUUAUUUUUUUAAUCAUUUUUAGGAAAUUAUUUUUUGUAAUAAGUGGCCAAUGAGAGUGUGCCACAUGUUAGGUAAGUGAGGAUAUUAUAUAAACUCUCUCAAUUCUAGGUUUUAGGAAUCUUGAAUCUUGGAUUUUUUUCUGGAGUUUUUGACAUUGAAGGAGGAAGAAGACGAGAACUUUGGUUUGUUUUCUUCUUCUUCUUUAUUGAAUAUAUUGUUUUUAGUUUCUUUUGAUUCAAAUUAUGGAUUUUUACCCUACUAUGGAUUGUGAAUGUGACAUCACCCCCAUGAGAGGCUAAGAGCCAACUUGGGGCUUGAAGCAUGAAAACCUAAGGGCUAGGAAACCUAUAGGGACAAUGGGUAAAUUACUAUAACAAUGAGAUUAAUUAUUGGUUGGGUGACAAUUUAUUAUAUUUUUUUAUCCUAUCCUUGUGAGUUCGUUUAGGGAAUGAUACGAUAGGUUAUUACUUGAUACUAGUGAUUCUUGGUAAUUCUUGAUCAUUAGUUAUCCUCGUUUUUCCUACCGUUAUUUGCCCCUAAACAAAGCUAUAAGGAGUAGGAAGGGUUAAAAAGCCAAAUCUUAAAUUGAUAAUCAAUCUCAUUCAUUUGAUGGUUUUAGGAAUCUGUUUGAAAAAGGAAAAAUUAGGUUUCGGAUGCAAUUUUGAGUUAUAGAACCCAACUUGAUCGCGAGUGGCCAAGGAUCCCAAAACCCUAAGAUCAUAUUACUUAAAAUACCCUUGUUUUCUAUAAUUUCUAUACCCUAGGUUGGAUUGUGGAAAACCCCAAACUUGAAUCAAUUGAAUUUAAAAUCAAUAUUCAUUUUCUCUUAUUAAUCCAAUUUCUUUUACUUAGUUUCACAUUAUUCACAUAUUGUUUUUCACUUAAGGAUUUAAACAAAAAAACAAUUCAUUUAUUCUAGUAUUGACAAUUUUCAUAAGUCAGUCCUUGAGAACGAUACCCGGAAUACUACAAAAGCCGUAGUGACUCUUUCUCUAGUUUUUCUUGACCAGAGUUACUACGUAAAAAGGCUAAGUAUUUUGGUACAAUAGAGAAAUAUCGGUCAGGAACCCCAGCCGGAUGGCUUGCUCCAGAUGUUCUCCUGUUGGGGAUUGCAGCAGGAGCCCUACCCCGGAUCCUGAUGAUCGGGAGGCUCCAUCGACUUGCAAAGUCCACCAUUCUUUUUCACUUGGUUCCUUGUGCUGGAUAGGCUUUCGGGAGUAUUCUAACACGAAGUCAGCCAUCACUUGGUCUUUCAUGGACAACCUGGGUUGGAACUCGAUUCCAUAUUCGCUCAACUCUAUGGCCCAUUGAAGCAUUCUUCCGGUUAGGUCCGGCUUGUGCAGAAUGUUGCGAAGGGGCUGGUCAGUUAGCACGACCACCGGGUCGGCUUGGAAGUAAGGGCAGAGCUUCUAGGCAGCACUUCGAAGGGUUAAGGCCGUUAGCUCCAUCUUUGAAUACCUGGUUUCUACGUCCGCCAACGCUCUACUGACGUAGUAGAUAGGUUUCUGCUCCUUGGGUGAGGGCAGCGAAAUAGAACAGCGCUGAUCGCCCACUCUGAUACAGCCAGAUAUAUGUACAAUUUUUCUUCAAGGAUGGGGCUGCUCAGGAUGGGCGGUUGCAUAAGGCAGUGUUUAAUUUUUUCAAAAGCGUUUUGACAGCUAUCCUUCCAUCCGUUUGCUCCGGCUUUUCGUAUUGCCAAGAAGAAAUGUCGUAGUUCAUCAGUGAAGCGGGUUAUAAAACACCCUAGCGCGACAAGCUUGCCUGUGAGACGUUGUAAUUCCUUCUUGCUCCUGGGGGGUGGUGUUUCCAUGACUGCCUUGACUUGAUCCGGGCUAACCUCUAUCCCCCUUUGGCUGACCAUAAAUCCCAGGAAUUUGCUAGCACUUACGCCAAAGGCGCAUUUAGAAGGAUUCAACUUCAUGUCAUAUUUCCUUAAGAGGUGGAAGACUUCUUGCAAGUGGAGGACAUGUUCCUCUCGGGUUUUGCUUUUGACCACGAUAUCGUCAAUAUACACCUCUACUGUGCGGCCAACCAAAGGUUUGAAGAUCUUUGUCAUCGGUCUCUGAUAAGUGGCGCCAGCGUUUUUGAGUCCGAAUGACAUGACUUUAUAGCAAUAGAGACCAUGUGGUGUUAUGAAGGCUGUUUUUUCUUCGUCAGCCGGGGACAUGGGGAUUUGGUGGUAUCCGGAGAAGGCGUCCAAGAAAGAGAGCAUCCCUUGCCCAGCAGUGGAGUCCACAAUUUGAUCUAUCUGUGGCAAAGGGAAACUGUCUUUUGGGCAUGCAUUAUUAAGGUUGGUAUAGUCGACGCACACUCGCCAUUUGCCUUCUUUUUUGGGUACCACCACUACAUUUGCCAACCAGUCCGGGUAAUCCACUUCUCUGAUGAAUCCAGCUUCCAACAACUUGUCUAUCUCAUCCCGGAUAAUUUUCUGCCUGUCCGGGUGAAAACGUCUUACCCUCUGUCAGAUGGAUCUGGCUGUUGGCAAGACGUUAAGCCUAUGAGAGGUAAUGGAGGGAUGAAUUCCCUUCAUAUCAGAAUGUGUCCAUGCAAAGAUGUCAUGGUUUUGUUUGAGGGCGUUCUGCAUGUUCCGGGUCUCUUCUAGUGUCAGAAGGGAAUUGAUAUUCGUAAGGUGAGUACCUUCUUCCGAAAUUUGGAUUGGUUGUAAGGGAUCUGUUGCCGGGGGAUCUUUGUCCAUCGGACCCAAUAAUUGUUAUUGGUCACGCGCAUGGCUGGACUCAGGGAGGGAUGCAUCCUCCUGGCUGGUCCCUGCUUCUUGUGCUAUCUGGUAGCAUUGGCGAGCAGCUAACUGGCUGCCAUAUAGGUCAAUUUGCCCAUCCUUGGUAAGGAAACUUACCAUUUGAUGAUAUGUAGAGGGGAUGGUUUUCAUGUAGUGUAGUCAUGUGCGCCCCAAGAUGAUAUUGAAGGGUGAUAAAUCUUGUACCACCGAAAAUUGUACGUUGAGAGUGACUGAGCCAGCUUGGACCGGCAGUACAAUGUCUCCCAAGGAAGUAGUUGACGACCCGUUGAAUCCGGAUAGGAUUCGCCCGAGGUUUUCGAGGCCUGUGAGACUAUGCCCCAUGUGGCUAAUGACCGAUGCUUGCACAAGAUCAGCCGAGCUGCCCAGGUCAACCAAGAUGCGUCUCACGUCGAAGUCUCCUAUUUCUAGGGACAUGAUGAGGGCAUCGCGGUGCGGCUGCAAUAUCCGGGUGAGGUCUACUGGUGGGAAAAUGAUUGUCCCAUCUAUGGGGCGAGGGCGCCCCUCCCCCCAGUUAUCCCAGGCCGGAUGGAGUUGAUACGCUCGCGUACCGAUGCUUCCCGCAACAACUUUUGUCUCUUUCGUUUGGAGUCAUACUCCUCGUCAGAUGGGCCUCCGUUAAUAUAGUUUAUAACGACUUUGGAGGCGGCUGGGGCCCUGGGGGCUCUAGAGUUGUGAUUUUGGGAAGCGUCUCUACCUCCAGCAUCUGAACGGAGGUAUUGCUUUAAAUGUCCCGCCUUUAUGAGUCUUUCGACCAAAUAAUGGAGGCAUCUGCAUGUCUCCGUUGUGUGACCAUGCUCCUUAUGGAAGGCACAUUUUUUUACUAUGAUCUCUUCUGGAUGGGUCUGUUCCGAAGGGUCUAGGCCACCUGAAGUCGGCCAUGUCUUGGACCAUAGGGAGAAGCUUCUCAUAGGAUAUGGAAAGUGGUGUGAGGGGCGGCCUUUCAGGGCGACUUGGCCCUUCCUGCCUUCGAUCGAACGGCCUUGGCCGGUCCGGAAGUUUGGCACUACUUCCCGCGCCACUUCUGGAUGUCUACCCCGCAACCAAGACCUGCUGGGUGGCUGCUCGCACGUCAUCUUCGAGCAUUGAGUAUUUGUUCGCACGCCGGAACAAGUCAUCCAUCGUCGCAAGAGGCUUUUUAGCAAGCGAUUCAAAAAAUGGGGUGCCUGGACAAAUGCUUCGCUUGAAGAUCUGCAGGACAACAUCCAUGCUGUAAGCCUCUACCUGUAGUAUGACCUGACCAAAUCGCUUCACGAACUCCCUUAAGGAUUCGUUAUCCUGCAUUUUUAUGUUUUGCAGAGUGCUAAUGUUUUGCUUAUGUCGAGCGGAGCACAAGUAUUGUCCCACAAAGGCCUCUGAUAGGUCUCUGAAAUUACCAAGAGAGUUGGGAGGUAGGCGAUGAAACCAUGAGAGGGUCUGCCCUUGUAGGCUGGCGGGAAAUACUUUGCAUAGCAGCGCUUCGUUGCCUAUAUCGAGAGUCAUAAGUUGUCGAUAAUGCAUGAUAUGAUCGAAAGGGUCGUUGGACCCAUCAUAUGUGGAGAAUUUGGGUACGAGAAAUCCCCUUGGGGGCUCGCAAUGAAUGAUAUGAGAGCAGAAAGGCGUGGAGAGCAUGUCGUCCAGCCUUUUGCUGAUGGAGCCAAUGGGUGGCUCAUUUGGGAAGUUUUUCCCAGCUUGUCGUACCGCUAGGUGCGAUUGAACGGUUUGCACCAUAGGGGUGACCAUAGGGUCAUGGUGCAGGAGAACGUUCUGCACCAUAGGGGUGAGCAUAGGGCCAGGGUACGCUCCCUAGGUUGUGGCUACUGGCGGCCUUGGCCUCUUAGGCUCUUGUGGGCCUAGUCUCGCGCACACUGAGUUUGACAACUGGGGCAUUUUAUCGCGUUGUCUUUUUGCUGAAAAAUGAGUAGAGUCUGAGCCUUCCUCAUGGGGAGCUCGGUGCAUGGGAGUGUGUGGCUUAUGUGGCCUAACGUUGCUUGUUUCUAGGACGGCUCCUGCUGUCCCAGGGUAUAUUGACUCUGGUUCUAGCCUUGAGUUUACUAUCUGGCCUCUUGAACGCUGACAACGGGGAGGCCCCGUCGAUGAAGCCUGGAUGCGUAGCACCGCGUUUUCUUCUCUUAACUUUUCUGUCUCCUGGAGGAGAGCUUGCAGUUGUCGUUCGCUUGCCAACUGUCUUCUUUCGAUAGCUUGGCGCCAUUCAGAAUUAUCUUCCUCUCCCCUACCAGAUGAACGGCUUCGGGAAGGUGUGGCCAUCUUUGCCAGUGACUGAAUCAGCGAUUUUCCCACAGACGGUGCCAAUGUUGAGGCCUCGCGUCCCUGGUGAUCCACGUAGUUGCCAAAUGGAUGGACGCACGAUCUCAACCAAUAUAGAUUCCUGGUUCAGUUGUUCCUGCAAAAAACGUCCGGACAGGGUGUCCUGACGUACCCUCCGAUGGUUUUGUCAGCCAUGGUAAGAGAGAUAAAUCAGUUGGUCUUUUUCUGGGUAUCGCAAGCUUACCUUCCUCUUUGUGUGAAGGUUUAUAUAUAUAGUACCAGAAGCUCUGUUUCCCUCUUUAAUGGUAGGGAGAUAUUUUGGCUUGUCAUGAUGCCACUAGGUGGUGGCAGGGUCAUCAUCACCUUACGGGCGGCUGACAGAGAUCGUGGGAGGCGUCGCUGCUGUCAGAGAUCGUGGGAAGUGACUUGCCGUCACUUCAUUCCUGUCCUUUCACUCUACAGGUGGCGGAACGUAGGCCAUGGCAGGCUGUUGUGAUGACAUGCAAGACUUGCUUAUUUCAGUCAAUGAUCCGGACAAACAUAUCCGGAUAAUAUAUGUCGGUCGUCCGGAUGCGAUGUGGCGGUCGUCCGGAUGUUAUGUUUGUGAGUGUCAUGUGCCUCUCCUUGAGGGAGUCCGGAUAGGAGAAACGCGCCACAUGUACUCUUGGGGAAAUCCGGAUGGGGGUAAUCCAGAUGAGAAUCCGUGCCACGUGUCAUCAGGGGGAGGGGUCCUUACAAGCAUGAUAUUCUGCUCAAUUGGAUCAGGAGUGGACUUUACGUGGGCAGGAGGCAGAGUUAGAGAAGAUGGGGAAGGAGAAGGUGGUUUGAUUUUCUCAGAAGGAGGUGUGGUGUUCUGACUCGGAUUAGAUGGAACCGAUGAAACAUUCCCAACCUGGAAAGGUGGAGCUGCAGUAGAGGCAGUGGGUGGUUGUGGCAGAGGCUGCUGAGGCGGGGUUGUUGGCCUAAAUGUCUGACCAAAUCUGGGUCGAAAAAUAGGCGGAGGGGUAGGAGGUUGAGCUUGAGCCUGAGGCUGAGCAUCAGGCGCUGUUGACGCAGUCGCAAGUGCUGGGAGGUGGGGCUACUGGCCUCAUGGAACCCAGGAUGAGCCAUGAGCGAGAUUGGAGAGGCCGGUUUGCCAUAAUCCAACAGAAUUAAUCUGGAGCAAGUCGCCCAAAUACUUAACUUGAACAAGAGAACGAGGAAUGGGCACAGAAAUUAAGUUUAGGGAACUUGGUAUUUUUAAGUUCAACACCCAAGAAAAAAAAAUGCAGAAGACAUCUAAAAUCCUAACACUAGUGCUCAAAAAUCAAAACACACUAAGUGCAAAUACGAUGAAACAUAUGCUUCCUAAGACAUGGUCUAGAAGAAGUGAAUUUCUUACAGGACUUGACUCAGUGAUAUUCAAGAUCCUUAAUUUUGAGAAUCAAUUAAUGCCACCACCACAAUCUUUAUUCUCAUUGCCCUUGUAACUUUUAUUGAACUAAGCAAAUACAACGCAUUAUCCAUCAUCUUAAAUAUGUAAGGGAAAUGCAAGACUAAAGCUUGAUACUAUAUCAGCUUAUGUUUCAAGGCCAGCGGAUACGAGGGAGAUAUCCUAUUGGCUCCUUUGUAGUCUAAGAAUCUAGUGGGAUCAUGCACCCGUAAAAGAUACUGGGAAGUGUAUCAACUGUACUUUCUACGACUGUUAAGUAUGGAAUGUGGAGCCUUGAACCUCUCCCUCACUUUAUACAGGCGCCUGAACAUUAAGACCCAAAAUUAGUAUUGCUUGUAGUUGUACAUCAUAAUUUCCUUUAUGAAAUAUUGUACUGCUUUUCAUUUUAAUGGUAUAUAUGUGGAACCAAGUCUCACACAUCUCUGUUCCUGCUAGAGGGCACAUUGAUAUCCCAAAGAGAUGCUAGCGCUUUCAAUACAAAACCCCAUCUAUAUACUCCAAAUUACUUCGAUUUUUGUCUAACUUAAUUCUUCUGUAUGUUCAUGGUUGCUCAAAUGUGUUGGUCAUGGACUCAUGGCUGGCCCUCUGUUUUCUUGUUAUCUCAAUGAAAAAAUAAAAAUUAAGUGUAGAUUUGAAUACUAAUAUUAUUUUUUUAUUUUUAAAAAUGAAAAGUCACAAUAAAUUUCAUACAGAAAGUAGAAUUUUUUAAUAAUAUAUAUAUUGAAUCAUAUUUUUAAAAAAUCACUUUCAAAAAUUUUUUAAAUCAAGGUAGCAAAAAUUGUUUGAUACCUCAAUUUUUUUUAAAACAAAUUUUAAGAUGAUUACUUUUUCAAUAUAAGUUUUCCAAAGUUCUUACAUUUUAUUUUCAAAAUUAUAACUAUUUUUUAUGUUAAAAAUGGAAAAUAAAAAAUGUAUUCAAAUAGACACUUAGAUUUCUUAUUUUUAGUUUUUCUAAUAUAAUGAUUUUUUUUUCCUUUUUGUUUGUUUAUUUAGCAAAGGAUCAAGCCUUUGGGUUGAAAGACUAGUCCUAACCCUAGUAAGGGUCACCCCAAUUUGGGACAAAACUCUAUCCAAAGGGGCUCAUCAAAGGAUAAGAAAGGGGCAACUCAAAUGCAAGUAGUGUUUCUAUUACUGAAGUAUCGGGAACCAUCACUUCUGGUGACAAGGCUAAAGAUGGUUUGUGAAUUACAAUGAUAUGAAUCAAGAGACUCAACAUCAGGAAAAAGAAGUUGAGAAAAUUUGUUGCAAACUCAAUUUAACUAUUAAAAAAUAGUGUUCACUCCUAGCCUUAUCUCCAUGUUUGAAUCUCUAUCUUGUGAUUCUCCUAUGAAAAUGGAUCCGCAUGAUGGAGAGGGUAAGGAGGCAGCUAAAAAGGAAAAAAUGGUUCCGAAGGGUUUUGAAGCUAGUGAUUGUGCAAUCAAGAUGGAAACAAAUGGAAAUAGACCUAUUUUGAAAGAAAAAAAAAUAAGUUGACGGCUUAAACUCUUCCAAAAAAGAUAAGGAACAAAUAAAUAAAUAAACCAAGGGAAUAAGAGGAAGGAAGAAGAAGGCUAAGGAGGCAUCAAACCAUCCAAUCCUAUCCCAUGAAGCUCAUGGCCUAGAAUGUUAGAGGGGUUCAUUGCCCUAAUUUUGUAUCUCAAGUUAGGAAGCUACAAAAAAAAUCUAGCUCAUCAUAUUUUGUUUUAAUCUAAAAUUUAAUGUUAAUAGAACAAUUGAUAUUUUGCCUAAACUCCAAUUUGAUUGUUAUGGCAGUUGAGAUAAAGCCUUUAAAUUUGGUGAUUCAAGGAUAGAGAAUAGAAGUGUUUUAGGAUAGUUAUUAAAGACUCUAAUGGAAUUAUAAAAAUAAUUGCAAGUAAGCAUAUGGGUAUUGCAUCAAUAAUUAUUUUGGAAUGUAUGAAUUUAAGAGAUGGUGAGCUAACCACUAAAAACAAUGGUGACUAAAAAAUAUUCUUAAUUCUAUUAUGCUAUUAAUGAAAGAUAUUUAGAACUUAGAUAUUGAAGGUAACUUAAAAAUAAUGAUAAAUUGUUAUAAUAAAUAAAGAAAUAUUCUUAAUUUUAUUGUCUUAUUAAUGAAAGAUAUUUAGAAGUUAACUCGUGAUCUAAUAUUUAUAAUUAUCAUAGUAUUUAUAAAGAAAUAAAUAAUAAAUAGAUUAUUUAGUUAAAAAAAAAAGGUAUUUAUAAUAUAGAGUAUUAAAAAGAAAAAGAAAAAAAAAAGGGACUUACAGCUAUGAGACCCAACUUCACCUUUCUUCAACUUAGGAUCCUUGGUAUGACAUGUGAUCUAAACUUGGAGCCAAAAACUUGAACUUAGUAGCCCUAACAAGGCAACCAAUGAGUUCGAGGUUUUCAGAGAAACUUAGAUUGUAAAUUGAAUAUUAAUUCACUAAGAAUAUAGUUAAACUUCUAAUAAAUUAAAUUAUUAAAGUUUUUAGCUAAUAGGAUAACACGUUAUCUUAAAAAACUUUUUUAUUUUUAAGUAAUAAAGUUAAAGUCAAAUUCAUACCAAAUACAUGUAGGUCCAUUAGAAAUGACUUUAAGGUGAAUCGAAACUCAAAGUCAUAGUUCUAAAUAAAUAAAUAAAAAUCAUAAUAUUAUUGUUAUUGUAAAAGGUUUAUUAAAUAUGAAAUAGGCUUUUACAUAAAAUCAAAAUAAAUUUUCUUAAAAAAAUAAUAACAUUUUUCUUACUUUUAAAUUUUUUUUUUUUUUAAUCAUGAGAUUUUUUUAAUAAAAUUAGUCAAAUAAGGUCAAAACCUUUGCUUUUAACCUUUUUGAAAUCAAUUCAAAUAUGAUUCUAGAAUCUUUUAUUGACGUUUAAAAAAGAACUUUUGACUUCUCAAGUCAAUCCAAAACUGAUUUAUCAAUGCUUAUUGAGGUGGUUUAAUAUAUGAAUAUUUCGAUGAAUGAAAACGUUAAUAUUACUUUCAACUAUCUUAAAUGGUUAUACGAUAUAUCAAUAAUGUAUGUAAAUUGAUUAAUUGAUUAACACAUGACUAUUGUAAAUCAUAUGAUGGAUUUUAAUGGGAUAAAUUACAAAAGAAAGAAAGAAAGAAUUACUUCUACCAAUGAGGGUCCAUAACUUUUAUUCAAACAGCUUCUGUACCUGUGGACGAUUUGAUUGACCCUGCCCCUGCCACAAUUUAGAUCCACAUAAGAUAAGAUAUAUUGUAGAAGGGGGAGCAACAGAGUCGAGGGAUUGGGUCUAUAUUUAGCCAAUCAACUUGAAAUCCAAAUCAGAUUGUCUAAAAAUUUCAAGCCAAAACCCAAUUAAAGUUCGAGCACAUAGCUCAUCAGAUCUCCUAAGAAGAUCCUUAAAAAUGGUUACAAAGGGGUUUAAGCUGGAAUGCCUACUAGGACCAAGCUAAAGGAGGCCCAAGCCUGGCCCAAUUCCAAUAGAAGAAGGUUCGACCGUUUGCAUGGCUAAUUGAAGCACAAAACAAAGGGAAGUUGUGAAGAAUUAUAGCACAUAUCCUUUGCUAUAAACAAACAAAGAAAUUCAAAAAAUAGAAGAAAAAUAAUUUCGAAUUUAAUAUAUAUUAAUAGGUGAAAAAUGACAGCAAACACUGUAAGGCUAGCUCUCAUCCCUCACAAGGUGAUCAAAUUGCAACUCAUUCACUCGAUACUAAUUCAAAUCAAAUGCAAAUUGCACCUUUUAUUAAUUUCUUCCCCAAUCAUCGUCACCUCACACUUACAAACACUUAAAUAUUCAAAUGAGGGCAUAUGGGUCACCAUCUUAGGUUACAUUCCAUCUGAAGAUCUGGAACACAACCAUGGAGAAUCAAAACCCAUGCCUUUUUAUCAUAUCACCAGUCACUUUUAUUUAUUCUCUUACAUAUAUAUCCUUUUAUAUAAUGCAAGAAUUUUGAAAAUGAAAAAGCUUAAUUUUAUGCGUGCAAGCUCUUUGAUCUCUACUUAUCUUGCCCAUCUCCAUGGUCCUUGAUAUGCAGUCCACGGCCGCCACCACGACGAGUGAAGAAAACAUGGACACCAGGAUCGUGGUGGUUGCAAGAGGUGUUGAAGAGAAUGGAGUUGUUAACGGCUUGAACAUUGCUGUUCGUGAAUGCAUUCAUGGGUGGUAAUGGGGUCCCCAUUUUGUUGUGAGCUUUGUCUUUCUUUUUCGACUUCUCUUCAUCGCUGCUACUGGCAUCGCUUCCUAAUUUGGUCCCCAACCAAGUUUUGAGGUCGGUCUUCUUGACAAGAGGGUUGGAGUUGCCUUCAGGGUCGGGUUUCUUGCGGGCGGGGCUUAGCUCCAUUACGGCUCCAGUGUUGUCACCUGCAAGCGUUAUGAUCUUCAAGCUGGCAUCCUCAGAGUCUGCUUUCUUGAGGUUAACUUUCUGGUCUUUGGUCCCCGGCUCACUCUUCUCGUAACCAGGGACAAUGCUUGGCUUCACAGAGUCGCCCACAUUACUUUGCAGCCCACCAAUGGAGGGCCUGAAUGGUGACUUGGGCUUUUCGAUGACCACAGUCUUCUGCUCAAUUGGCUCAGGAGCGGGUUUUGGCUGGGCAGGAGGCAGAGUUAGAGGAGAUGGGGGAGGAGCAUGUGGUUUGACUUUCUCAGAAGGAGGUGUGGUUUGUGCUGGAAGCCUGGACAAUAGUGGGGCUGGUGCCAAUGCCCGUGCCCAUGCCCGUCCCGGUGAUGGUGCUUGUGCCUGUGGGGGUUCUGGUGCCGGGGCCGGUACUGUGAUCGAUUCGGUGAUAACAGUGGUGGUACUGGUGGUGAUGGUAGGAAUGGUUGAGAUGACUUUGGUUGUGGGGGAAGUUGGCACUGAAGAGGAGGAGGCAGAGGUUUUGGGAGAUUUUGGAACUGGAGAUGUUGGCACGGAAGACAAUGUUGUGGCUGGAAAAGCACUAGUUGUGACCACUUUCUGGACUGGAGAUGUUGGCACUGAUGAAGUACCGUAAGGUUUCGCGACUACCGGAGAUGUUGGCACGGAUGUAGUGGUUUUCUGAAUCGGAGAAGUUGGAACUGAUACAUUCCCAACCCGGAAAGGUGGCUGCUGAGGCUGGGUUGUGGGCCUAAAUACCUGACCAAAUGAGGGUCGAAUAAUAGGUCGAGCUGCAGGAGGCUGAGGUUGUGCCUGAGGCUGAGCCUCAGGAGCUGCGGACGCAGCCGCAGGUGCUGGUGUAGGCGCUGCGGGCCUCAUGGAACCCAAGCGGAUCCAUGGGCGGGCUGGGGCAGGCUGGUUUGCCAUAAUCGAACAGAA